rnacentral:lncRNA from 1 species
GCAACUUGCUUUGGGUCCGUUUCCACGCUUUGGUCUUUCUCUCUUGGCAGUAAAUCUUGCUGCUCCUCACUUUUUGGGUUAGUACUACGUUUAUGAGCUGUCACACUCACCGGGAAGGUCUACAGCUUCACUCCUGAAGCCAGUGAGACCGUUAACCCACCAGGAGGAACGGGCAACUCAGACCGCGCCACCUUUAAGAGCUGUAACACUCACCGCGAAGGUCUGCGGCUUCACUCCAGAAGUCAGCGAGACCACGAAUCCUGCGGGAGGAACGAACUCCGACCGCGCCACCUUUAAGAGCUGUAACACUCACUGCGAAGGUCUGUGGCUUCACUCUUGAAGUCAGCAAGACCACGAACCCACCAGAAGGAAGAAACUCCGGACACAUCUGAACAUCUGAAGGAACUCGGGACACGCCAUCUUUAAGAACUGUUAACACUCACUGCGGGGGUCUGCGGCUUCAUUCCUGACGUCAGCGAGACCAAGAACCCACCGGAAGGAACCAGUUCCAGACAUACUGGGACCGUGUGGAUACGUCGGUAAACCUGACAUGCACAUCUUUAGGAGAUAGCUGGAGAAAACCCAUGCAGAUUGUGGGUUUAUCCCCAGCUGGGGAUAGAUUUUUUUUCCCCAUCAAUAUUGUAAAGAAAACUGAAUGAAUUAGUUAUUCAAGAACCAGCUGUACCUCUUACAUAGGGUUGUCCCGAGGGCUAUGAGAGAUCAUGUUUGUAAAGUGCCCAAGAAGCAGUGGCUACUAUUAUUACUAACUUGCUUUUUCUGUGCAGUAACUUUAUAAGAUAAAUUUUGCCACAGUUUUAUAGAUGAAGAGACUGAGGCAAAUGGAGGUCCCUUAAUUUACCAGAAGUCUUCUACCUUAAGAAAGACAAGACUCGGAUUCUAAUUUAAGUCAUUUUGAUACAUUCUACUCUCCCCACCACAGCAUAUUAAAUGUAAUGCACACUCAAAAAUACUGGGUUUUUUUUUUGUUUUUUUUUUUUGAGACAGAGUUUCGCACUUUUUGCCCAGGCUGGAGUGCAAUGGCGCGACCUUGGCUCCACCUCUUGGGUUCAAAUGAUUCUCCUGCCUCAGCCUUCUGAGUAGCUGGGAUUACAGGCAUGCAUCAGCACGCCUGGCUAAUUUUGUAUUUUUAGUAGAGAUGGGGUUUCUCCAUGUUGCUCAGGCUGGUCUCGAACUCCUGACUUCAGGUGAUCCUCCCACCUAGGCCUCCCAGAGUGUUGGGAUUAUAGGUGUGAGCCACUGCGCCUGGCCUGGAUUUCUCUAUUUGUUUAUGCGAAAUCGUCUACUGGCAUUACCAUCUCUCAAAACAUUUUCCUGGACUUUUAACUAAAGAUUUUUUCCAUUGUAAUGGGCACAAGUGCAAUUUCCCUUUCAUUUUAAGAGACUGUGAGAAGUAACAAAUCAGGUAAGUAAAAUUAUUAAAGAAGGAACUAGCACUUAAAAAAUAUAAUUUAUAAAACCAAGUUGCCUAAGAGAAGCGUCAGCUUACAAGACUUUGUUACUUCAUGGCAUUAAUAGUUUCAGGAACAUUAUAAUACAUAGUUUAAUUUUCUUUGGUGUUUGUCGUGUUUGGGGGGUGGAGGUACUUUUUUCUUAUAGAUUUUAUGAUAAUAACUUGGUUUUAAUAGCACUUUUGAAUUUGCUAGACACUAAAACAAAGACCAUUUUAUAAAUUGAAAAUUCACUUGUGUGAACACUAAAUGCUGGGAUUUGAUUUCUUUGUUUCUAUAGAAACAAAAGAAAGUUGAGAUUAAAAUAAGCUAAAAUGGAAUUACAUUUUAUGAAACAGUAAAGAAGCUUAUUUUACUUGUUUCCAUUGUAGUGUGGUGAAAUAAAAUUUUUAUUUAAAACCCAAGCUGUCUGUGGGCCCUUCUGCCUUCUGAGAAAAAGUUCCCUUGGAACAGGGAGUGGCAAGAUUUAUAUAUUGAAAAAAAAAAAAAAGCCAGUCUGUUUGCUAUUUCAUUCCAAUUUGAGAAAUUGCUGGUGAUGGUUUGGAGGGUAUAGGGGAAGAUGAAGAGUGUUUUCAAUGUGAAAACUUAAGCCAGUGCUCUCUAUAUUGUUCAAAUAGUGAGAGCAGGUUUAGCAGAGACAGUAAUGUUAAUGUCUUUGGGUCCGUAAUAACAGCCCAGUAGGAUAAUAGGUCAAAGAACCGACAUUCUCUGUGAUAACAGGAAGGAAGGAGAUCCAGACCAUCCUGACUAACAUGGCGAAACCCCGUCUCCACUAAAAAUACAAAAAUUAGCCUGGUGUGGUGGCAUGCACCUGUAAUCCCAGCUACUUGGGAGGCUGAGGCAGGAGAAUCCUUUGAACCUGGGAGGCGGAGGUUGCAGUUAGCCGAGAUUGUGCCAUUGCACUCCAGCCUGGGCAACAAGAGCAAAACAGCAUCUCAAAAAACAAAAAAACAGAAAAACAAAAAACAAAUACAGAAACAAAAACCACUAGGCACGAAGACAGUUGCAAAGGUGAGGCCUGGAAAGAGGGUCUCAUGAGUAUUCGUGGAUCCAUUUGUUUCUGAGGCCCAAUUGCUUUCUUGUAGUUGGAUAACUAUUUUGAGAAUGAAGAAAAAUUCUUUCCAAUCCAUUCCCAUUUUGUCAAUUUAGUUCAAGAUAGGGUUGUUCCUAUUUUGAGAGAAUUGUUCUUCACUGUGCCACAUGUAAUCCUUUACCUGGAGUGCCUUCCCUCUCUUGACUUCUUACUGACUCCGUGAUCCUGUGCAGGGAGGGCGCAGUGUGUAUUCUCAUGCUUGCAUUUACAUGGGCUCUGAUUUUUUUCUUUUUUUCUACAUAUGUGGCAUGGAUAAUUUGAUAGAGAAUCUAAUAUUUUUACAAUAAGAUAAUACUGAAUCUAUCUUUAAUCUGAAUCUUUGCUCAAUAAGAACAUAUGAGAGUUGCAAAAAAAAAAUGUUAAAAAAGAUGGAAGACCUAAAUCCACCUUGAAGCAUAAACAGUGGUGUUACUUUAAGAAAAGCACGUGGCAGCCCUAAUAACGUCUGUAAUAGUAUAGAAAAGCACCUCCACGUCUCAUUCUUUUAGACAAUAUGGUCCAGUGGGAAAAGUUUUGGCUCUAAAGAAUACUAUUCUCUAGCUUCGUGAUAUGUUCAUUCCACUGUUCUUGAUCUCAAUCGGAGGUUCUGCAUAAUGGAAUUCAUAAUUUUGUUCUAUCAAACCUGCAAAACAGUACCAGCACCUAUAGAUAGCAUGUUGUAGAAAAUGGCAAGAAUAUGUAUAAAAAUGGAAAUGGAUCCUAACCAUCUCACCUUACUUGCUCCUAGAGAAGUCCAACAGGUGAUGGUCUUGUUUUCCCAAGCUGCUACAGAGCUUCUGCAGCUCCAAGCAUGACCACUAUAUUUGGCUGCUUAAAAGCAUAACAAGGGCAGAAAUCAUAAAGGCUUUGCCCAGAGGGCCUUGAUUGUCCUUGCCUUCUUGUCCUUUGGUGAGAACUUCAUUGGUGGUGGCUCCAAAAAUCAGGAGACUUUCUGUGAUGAAUUCACCAUAAGAACGUGGGACCCAGCCUCCCUUGAAGGACGUAAGUACCCAAUAUCUGAAGAAAAUUGAGGUUUUUUUUUUGUUUUUUGUUUGUUUGUUUGUUUUUUGAGACGGAGUCUUGCUCUGUCACCCAGGCUGGAGUGCAGUGGCGUGAUCUCGGCUCACUGCAACCUCUGUCUCCCAAGUUCAAGCGAUUCUCCAGUCUCAGCCUCCUGAGUAGCUGGGAUUACAGGCAUGUGCUACCACUCCCAGCUAAUUUUUAUUUUUAGUAGAGAUGGGGGUUUCACCAUGUUGGCCAGGCUGGUCUUGAACUCCUGAUCUCAGGUGAUCCACCCACCUCGGCCUCCCAAAGUGCUGGGAUUACGGGUGUGAGCCACCAUGCCCAGCCCCUCCUGGCUUUUGUAUAAUUGCGUUUGAUUCAGCUAUAGGGUCUUGUAUGAUAUUGUUUAUACAAGUCAGCUGCUUGGUUCCAUUUUUCUUUUCUGUUCUCCAUUUGGUUGGUUUUAUAAUGUACAAAUUCACAUCCAGAGUGUAUAUAUUUUUUCAUCUAGUAAAUGGAUAAACUUAUUGUGAGAUUUUAUUAGACUUUUUUGAAACUUCCAAAAAUUUUCAAUUGCAUUUACUGCUUAAAGGAAUAAUUUGAGAUAUAACUCAAAUCAGGAAGUACUCUAUUUAAGAGAGAUUCAUAUUAAAUAUUUUUGGUAAUGCUUCAUAAGGGAAAUGUAAAAUUCUACUUGAUUUAAAUAGUAUUUGUUACCUUUCAAUUUUCUCAGCUGCACUUUCUCAGUUUACACUCUAAUCUUUUACCUGGACAAUUCCAGUUGCUUCCUAACUGUGCAAUGUACACAUCCUGUUGCUGACCAUGGGAACUCUCUAAAGCACAAAUAUGAUGCUCUCUUCCUGUUUGAACUUUCAAUCGAGGUUACUUGCAAAAUCAGCUUCAUGGUUCUUGGUCUAAUGCCUGAGACCCUGGCUGACCUUGCAACUACCUUCCUUUACAGCUUCAAAAGUUGCUACCUCAAAAAAACCCUCCAAGUUUUGGAAAAGUACUUUAAGGAUUAACCUAUUGUAGGCAUGAGGAGUUGUCUGUGGUUCCCCAAACAUCCCAUGUUCUUUCAAGUUUCCAUGCAUUUGCACGUUCUGAUACUACUGUCUGGAUUAUGAUUUUCUACCUAUCCUGCCUUAUAGGAGAAUUUAUGUAUUUCUCAAAAUGCAAAUGUUCUCUCCUCAAUGAAGACGUGCUAAAACUCGUCUUUAGCCCAUUUCCAAGUAGCCAGCAGUUAAUACUUUUGUAACACUGUGCAUGUAUUUCUAGUACAGGAUCUAGAUCUGUACAUUGCAUGUACCUUUAAUAUAAACUCUAACCCCCACAUUAGAUGAGACUUCGUUGUCAGGGCCUAAGGCAUGAGAAAGAGAACUGGUUAGCAGGCUGUCAGUAGGAGAUAGAAAGCUAAGCAGGGUAGUUCUUCUUUGUGACUUUUGAAGACACUGGACAAGUAGAUCUGAUGAAGAUAGACUUGGGUUCAAACCAUGGAUUGAGCAUCAUGCAUUUCACUCACAUUAUCACUUUUACAAAAUGCCCAUAUCAUAUGAUGGGUAUUUCACUCAUAUAUCUCAGAAAAAUCUAUUCUAUGGUUUGUGGAGGUAAUAACUGUUUUAGAAGCAGAAUUUUAAUGCAAAAUUGAUAAAUUCUUGUAUGCAAAUGGUAAUAUUUAAAGAAUUUCCACCAUUCUCCACACAUUACUGGGACUGGAUAAUUAUCUGAAAGGCAGAUUCUGGUUUUGAAGGUCUAGACAACAGCAUAGUAGACUUUCUUUUUAGUGCUUACUUUGAUUAUCAUUGGCUAUCUAACAUUAAUGUAAAUAAGAAAUAUAAAAAAUGAGAAAACAUGUUUGUUUUAUUUUAGGGGUAACUGAAAGUAUCUUUUGAAAGGGCAGUUUAAAUAUUCCCAACCUUUAUAUUAUUAAAAUACACUGUGGUGUCUUUCUCUUUAUACUCUGAGCUUGUUGGUAGCAAACCCAUUUAUCUUUAUUGUCUUCCUAACCUAUAGUAUACUGGCUUGCAUUUAUUAUCCUUCUGAUAUGAGUGUUUCUGGAUCCCACAAAAACAUAGGUUGAGGUAGUUUUGGGAGACAAUUAAGCAAACGAAGCACACCUCUUCUGCUGGGCUGCAGUUGGAUGAUCCCAGCUCAUGCAUUUGGGGAGCUGGUGUAGUGAUACAAAUUUUAGAGCCAGAAUGCAGGGUUUGAAUUCCAGCUCCGUUACUUACCAGUAUGUGCUACCAGGAAAGUCAUGUAACCUCUUUUUGCCCUGAUUUUGUCUACCAUUAAGUAGGGAUAAUACCAAUUACUAUCUCUAAGAAUCUUGAGAAGAUUACAUGUGUUAAUACAUGUAAGGUGCUUGGAACAAUGUCUGACACAUCAUAAAUAUCAUCGAAGUGUCAGCUCUCACUUUAUUGGUUUCAAGUCUUCACAGUCAGCCUCCUUUGUCCUAAGGUCAUGCUACAUUUUGUAUAAAUGUUUCUUAUGGGACAAAAUGCUCCUGUCUGUUUAGGAGUGUGGGUGUGAGUGUUUAAAGACACUGAUGACUUUUGCCCUAUAAUGGAAAUUCUCUGCACCAAAAGAGCCAGAAGAUUGCAUUAUACAUUUAUAAAUUCACAUCAAGUAAAAACAGAGAGGGAGAUGGAUCCCAAAGGACAUAUUAUCAGAAUCGGGCUCCAGAUGGAGAAUUUAUGUGAUUUGAUAUAAGUUUAAAUACAGAGUUGUUUUACUCCAAAGCUUAAGAGGAAGGAAUCGUUGUGGUCAUUGCUAGUUAUAUUAAUGGAAGGAGUCUUCCCCAUUUUUAAAACUUAAGUGAUGGUAACUAUUGGCAGAAUUUGUCAUUCAUCUCAACCAGGUUUCUAACUCUUACUCUUAAAUUCCCUCUUUUAAUAUUUAUUUUUUAAAGUUUUUAUUAUGCAUAAAAUCUAUUUUUUAAUAAGUUGAAAAGAAUUGGAGUGGGAGGAAAUCAGAGCUGUCAUGAGAACUGGAGAAAAUGGGUGUGGGGAGGGGAAUCUGUAGAGCACAGGUGCCAGGUGUCCUGUGGAUCUCGGCCACAGCCAUCCGCCCAUCAACUCUCCUGUAUUGUUUCUGACUAAUGGAGCAACCUAUUCACUUUUUUUUAAUCAUAUGAGAAAAAGGAUGCAUGGAAAUUCCACAAUCAGUGUCAUUGAGGUCAGACGAUAAGCAACUUUAAGUUUAAUGAGAAACUUCUACAUCAGAGGCUUUAUUUAAUUUGUUUUGUUAUUUUGUCUUACUGUGGCUUCAGAAUUUCACCCAGGAAAUGUAUGGAAGGUUUAACAAUACCAUGUUAAAUCAGUAGAUCUACAUGAUCUUUUCAGUGGAAUAGAAGAAAUAUGAUCAGGACUUGGUGGCCCUAAAUUAACUUGUUUAAAAACAGGAUUCUCAAUUUGGUUAUGAAUUUUCUUACCUCCAGUGAUGUGCUGGGAAGCGUUUAACAACUGACACUUUGGAAUAAAGCCCUGAUUUAUGCUGUGGGCUUAUUUCCUUUUGGUGAUAUUCCCACCAUAGCCAAUUUUGACCUACCAGUGUGAUGAUACCAAAUGAAGAGUUAAAAGAGAGGUACACAGUGGGCUCUUGAGAGCCUGUUGAACAUGGCAACUACACAACACAACUCUGUUUACAUCUCAGAAAAGAUUUGAGACAGGCCAACAAAAGAGAUUGUCCUGAGAACUGGCAUAUAGAAAAAGCUCUAUGGCUUGCAUAGGCAAUGAUGAGGCACAGCAUUCAAACAGGGAAGCUGGAUCAAUCAACAUUGCCUGGCUGCACAGCAUCAGAUAGCCCAGCCAAUAUUCACUGUUGCACAAUGCUUUUUUUUUUUUUUAAACUAAAUUAGUGAAGUAUACAGACAUUCCUGUAGACAUCCACCUGGAUAUGUCAAAGAAAAUACCCAAAAACUGUGCCUCUUUUUUUUUUUUUUUUUUUUUGAGACAGUCUCUCUCUGUUGCCCACAGUCUCUCUCUGUUGCCCAGGCUGGAGUGCAGUGGCACGAUCUUGGCUCACUGCAACCUCUGACUCCCGGUUCAAGCAAUUCUCCUACCUCAGCCUCCCAAGUAGCUGGGAUUACAGGUGCCCAACCACGCCCUGCUAAUUUUUUGUGUUUUUAGUAGAGACGAGGUUUCACCAUGUUGGCCAGGCUGGUUUUGAACUCCUGAUCUCAAGUGAUCCGCCCGCCUUGGCCUCCCAACCUGCUAAGAUUACAGGCGUGAGCCACCGCACCUGGCAAAAACUGUGCUUUCUUAUGGUAUAUUUUUUUCCCUUUCUUCUGAAACAUUUUUAGAUUGUUAUCUCAUUUUACUUCAUUUUACAUCAGAAGGUUUUCACAUAGGAGUCCGUAUUCUUAGGUUUUGUAUGCUUUGGAGGAUUUCACUCUCUAUUCAUUCCCUGUGAGGUCCUAUAUGAUGCCUGUUUCCAAGGGAAGAAGUAAAGUCAAGAAACAAGAUAUCCUCAAGCUACUCUUAGGAUCAGUGUCUGCAUAGAUCUGGCACACAGAAAUGCAAGGAAACAAUUUGUGCAAAGCAUUAAAAAAAAAAGGGGGGACCCUGAGAGUAUAACAAGUGCUCCUGAGAGAGGACAGACGGAGAGGACGCAUGGGCAGGGAUGGCCGCCCUGAGCAGCUGAUGUUCGAGCUAAGAUCUGAAAGGUGCAUGAUUUCCCACUUACCUCCCGCAACCACUACCACCCACGUUGUCCACAGUAUUCAGCUGUCUCAGGGAGGAUCACAAUUAUUCUAAUGGGACUGCAAAGAGUGAAGGACACAGCUUUUAACAUCAGGUAGAGAAUUUUGUUGAGUCUUUAGUAGGUCAGCCUUUGGAAAAUACUUCUCUAAAUUUCUAUACAUUCGGGCUAACUCAUUAGAGGUCAGGCCUGGAAGAUGAGAUCAUCUGUUUCUUCAAGAGGAGGACCUCUGCUUCUGUCAAAACAGCUGAGUCAACAGGGCGUGGUGUCUCAUGCCUGCAAUCCCAGCACUUUGGGAGGCUGAGAUGGGAGGGUCACUUGAGCUCAGGAGUUUGAGACCAGCAUGGGCAACAUAGUGAGACUUUGUCUCUACCCCAAAUUUUAAAAAUUAUCUGGGUUUAUUCGUGUGUACCUGUAGUCGCAGUUACCUGGGAGGCAAGGUGGGAGGCAAGGCGGAAGAUUGCCUGGGCCAGGGAAAUGGAGGCUGCAGUGAGCCAUGAUCACACGUCUGCACUCCAGCCCGGGUGAGCAUGAGACCUUGUUCCCCCCAACAAAAAAAAAAAAAAAAAAAAGAAAGAAAAGAAAAGCUGAGCCAGGAGACUCAAGAAUGAGAUAGCAUCUCUACAAGUCAGAAAGACAAAAAGGAAACUCCACUUCAACUCAGGUAGAAUGUGGGAGAGAGAAAGGAGACAGAUGUGGCAGGAUUAGGCUUGAUGCCGAGCGACUGGAAGUCUAAGCAGUGGUUGAAACAGGAUAGAAUGUGUUUCUCUCCUUUCUGGCUGCCUGGGGAAGGCAGUUCAAGGCUGGGAUGGCACUCUUCAGUGUAAGAGACUCAAGCUUCACCUUUUUUAUUUUUUACUCUGCCGUGAUCCUUAUUCCUUAUCAUGGUGCAAGAUGGCUGCUGUAGCUCUGUCCACCUCAUCUGCAUCUCACCCAGUAAAAAAAAAAAAAAAGUAAAGAAGGCCACACUUCCACAUUUGAUCACGUUGCUAAUAUCCCUUAGCAGAGGUCAGUCAUUUGACCACCCAGAGGCAAAGGAAGGUGGAGAAUAUAAUUGUUAUUCAGAGAAGCCAUAUGGAGAGCUAAAAUUCUGGGGUCCUUAUAGCUAGAGGAAAAAAUGAGGGAACCAGUGAGGACAAAUGAAGGAAGCAUUACUGGGAGAAAAGAGUAGGGUGAACAGAUGUGGAGGUGUGUUAGAAAUGACCAGAUAGAUUUAGGGGAGUCAAGGACAUGAGGCCUUGCCUAUUCCCAUGGAACAGUCUGGGAAACCACUGUGACAGGCCCUGUUGGCGCUGCAGCCACACGAUGGCAUCUGGCCUGAUGGAUGUGCUUGAGGCUGUACUACUUCUGUGCUCAGCACAAGGUCUCAGCGGUUCCUACAGUCCUCCAUGAUGAGGUGUGUUGGGUUGAGGCCAUGCACUAGCAGAGGGCCAGCAUGAGAGUCAAGAUGCAGUGGCAGCUGGGACCUCUGAGACUAGAAGCCUGACAUGUCAGCAGGUGAGACAGGACCUCCUGCCUGUGUGGGCACCAGCCAGACCAGCCAACCUUCAUUAGACACCAGAUGUACCCAGAGUCCCCUGUGACUCUGAUCCCUGCUCUUCCUGCUGUCGCAAAGACACAGAGAGCUUCUUCGUAGACAGGCACCAUCUUGGGGAGGAGCAGGGAGUAACUUUUUUUUUCUCUUCCCAUACAUAGGCGGAGCUAAAUGGGGGAUGGAAGGUUCUUGAGAAGAUUUAGCUAAAGAAGCUAAUUGUUAAGUUAGGCAUCUGAGUAUAAUGUGAGUGCAUUUUCUAUCCUAUAAAUGUACAUAGAAUUAAACUUGUAAUGCUAAAUCAUUUACUUUUGAGUUCAUCCUCAUAAGAGUGCAAAAUGAACAAAAAUUAAAAUUGAGAUUGCAGAUUUUGAUUUAGGGUAGACCUGUGGCAUUUAGUGUUAUAUCAGGCCAAAGACAUCACUCCAAGAUAAUACUAUUUACACAGAAGAUCUCCUUAGCUAGAGAUGUUUUUUUAAAAACUGAAACUAGUAAAGAGAAAGUUGAUUUGUCAAGAGAGUUGACUCCCACAAAUCGGGUGUUUUCCAGUUAUUCAGGCAUGCAACAUUCACACAGAUGCUCUCAGAUCCUCUUACGAAGUACUGGAUUAAAAAAGUAUGAGAUGAGACAUCAGAUAUUUCAGUGACAAAACCAUCCCUCUUGAUCAACCAAAAUAUUCAAAUGCACUUCAGAUAUGCUGGUUUCUGAAGCGACCUGAAGAACUUGUUUUCCCUUACCUCUAAGUUAAACCCAGACACAGUGACUCCAGACCGAGAACAAUUGUAUGGGGAUAUUGUAUUGCUAUUGCCUGCAAUUUAGAUAAAACAAAGGUGCACAAGGCAUGCACCCACGUGUACACACACACACACACACACACCUGCCCCCCCACCACACACACACUGUGAGGUACUAUAUCAAUGCCUGCAUACUCCACAAAUCUAGUCCAGCAACUUGCUUAAGCUUUUCAUUGGAACAAAGUGAUAGUCUUCUCUCCUAAAACAGAGUAUCUUAAAAAAAAAAAAAAAGUUAAUUUAGCAAAAAGUAGUGCCCAACUUUUUCAGGGACCCGUGGAAUUCAGGCUGUCUAGCUGACACCUCUGCAGUACUUUAAAUAUUUAAAGCAAUUGCCUCUGAAAUAUGGAUUACCAUGUAGGGAAAUGUACAAGGGAAGAUUGCUUUCUCCAGUUUUGUUUGCUCCUUUUGAUGUAAAAUGUUGUGGGAAAAAAAAGAGCUGUGACCCUUAAUUAGAUAAGGAUUUAUCUACAUUGCUUUUCUUUUUGUGCCUGACCCCACUAGUCGGGCUAGUUGAUCUGUAUUGCCUAGUGUUGACACGAAUGAGCAGCGUGAACCUUAUACAGUUGUAAACACCUCUACAAUGUGGCCUUCCUUACAUGGUCCGCGAGGAGGCCUUGACAGAAUGACACCCGUCAUCUGAUAAGCUGGGGUCAGGAGUCACUUGAAGAGUCGCUUUUUCUUUGAAUUUCUAAAAGCCAAAAACUUUUAAUGUUUUUAAUAAGUAAAUUACCUAAACAUGUACAGUCCUUUUGCACAUAUUAACUCAUCAGAGGCCCACGUGAGUCAGGGAGGGCUCCCUAAACAGUCAGGGGCUGUUCACCUGGUGUGUUGUAACUGCAAGACCACGUUUUGGUGAGAAUCUGAGAUGUAUUUUGGAGAGCUUAUAUGACACAGUGGUCACAUGAUCCUUAAGGAGCCAGAGGGCAUGACUUUAAGUAAAUGGCUGGAUGUUUUUUUCCAGUGUUGGCGAUGCCUGUACUCAAAGGCAGAAACUCAUCAGUAGGACUUCGAUGAAGGAAGAAUAUUUUUCUUAAAGCAAGAUAUGUUUUAGUGAUAUAAUUAGCCUUUUAGUUUAUUCUCCCAUGUAUAUAUAUCUACACACACAUACACAUACAUAUAUAAUGCCUGUUUUAUAGUGUCUUGGAGAUUUAGGUGAUCAGGUUUUCUUCAUGCCAGUAUUUGGAAUUCAGUGAGAUCAGGUGGCUAGGCAAAAGAAGAGUAAAUUAUAACAAGAGCUUCCUUUAUAGUCACCAUGAAGAAGAUGACUUAUUCUCUGAGUCAUAAAGUCAUAAACCAGAAUGCCUUGGUAAAGAAAAAUUUUAAUUGAUACUGAUACAUGUUUAUUCUCUUCCAGGUCUAUCUUAUUUACUGAGGAUGGGAUAGGGGAUAGUGUGUGUAACAAAUGUGUCAAUCCUUUUGAUAAGGUGCUGUGGGAACACAGAGGGACUGGUGUCCCUGGGAUGUAGGAGAUUUUCCUGUGUUGGCCUCCUGCCAUCUCUCCUUGUGCUUCAAUCAGUGUAUGAGAGUAGGUGGCAGAAGCACCAGCUUGGACAUUUCUAGGGCUUUUAAGAAUAUUUACAACCUUAAAAUUUUGUGCUCAAAAUAGGUCACUGAGAGCCUGUAAUCCUGCAAGAUUUCAGAGCUGUUCCUUGCACUUUCCGUAGCAAUUCUUUCAUCAAUCUGAUCACGUUCUUAAUUCCAAAUUUGGUGUUGCAGGUAGUCAAAAUACUAGUGAGGACUCUGUUAAUGCAACUCAAAAGCCAGGUUUCUCGUUCCAAUCACAGAUUCGAAUCCUACAAUUUGGAACCCAUGGGCACUUCUAGAUUGGAUCUUGCAGAGAUUUUUUACAACAGAAAUAAUGGAAAGGCAAAAGAAAACAUUGAGUAAUAACCAACCCAAGCAAGUCCAGCCUCUUUCUGCAGAAGGCAAGUAGUUCUAAAUGAAUUGAAUAUUUGGCAAUUUUUUUCCAUCCACACUGUUUGACUCCAUUCUGGGCCAAAAUGAUCUGUGACUAAACACAGGCAAAAACAAAGUUUAUUUUUAAUCUGUCUAGCAAUGAGGGUAUUGGCUCAUCAUCCAGAGGAGAUGUGAAUUCUUAUCCUUUAUCUAAUCUUGAACACUCUCUCUCAUACUGGGGAGUGGUGACGGCGCAAUUUCUAGCACUGAUUUCCUAUUGAAACCGUGGUUUCCUUCAUUGUUUAUCAAAUUCUCUCCCGUCUUACCCUCAACUCCAACCAACCCGGAGUUUUUCGUCAAAGCCACUCUACUUGACAUACAUAUGAGCUUGACAAUAAAAUUCCUUGGAUAUACAUUGUGGAAGACGGGUGCAUUUUCCAUAUUUUACAUCAUAUUCUUGUUUUUGGAUCACCAAAAUAUGAUGUGUUAUAAUUUAGAAAUUCAUUUCCAUAAAUAAUUUAACUAUAGCUCUAGACUCAUGAAACUUGGAUAUAGGCCAGACAAGCGGCUCAUGCUUAUAAUCCUAGCACUUUGGGAGUCUGAGGCCGCCCGGGAGGUCAAGACUGCAGUGAGCCAAGAUCACAGCACUGUACUUCAGUCUGGGUAACAAAGCGAGACCCUGUCUCAAAGGAAAAAAAAAAAAAAAGGAACUUGGGUAUAAUUUAAGAUGGAGCGACAAAUAUGGGGUUUUACCUGGAGUCUCCUACACCAUGUGACCUUUCAAAUUUGGCCUUGCACAAAUCAUACUGGAAAGGUAUGUUUCAGAACUUUUUCCCUAGUCUUACUCAUCAAAUAUAUUUUCCCCACAGGAAUAUCUAGUGCCAUCAAAGUGGAUAAUUAACAUUCAAGGUGCUAAGACCAUGUCUACAUGAUGAAAAGUGUUUUGUAAAAGAAUAAAUGAGUGCAUUACUAAUGAAAGAUUUUUUUUUCCUUUACAAAAAGUCACUGAAUUAUGCUAUCCAGGCAGCCCACUGUCUGAUGCAUUGAUAAAUGGAGGAAAAGACAAUCACAUUAAGAACAUCAGAACAUCAUUUGCAAUUCUUAAAGUCGGUAUUCAGAAUCAACAAGCAGGGAACUUUCUCUUAAAAUUAGAGGUAAUAACCCACCCAAUUGAGUGGCAGCAAUGUGGUCAAUUGAAGACAGAAAAACAAGACCUAUUUUCCACAUUACGAACCUUUAGUCCAAGGAAGUGUUUUUCAAAUGAUGUUGGCUGAGACCCCGAGUAAUAAAUAUAUUUUACAUUGCAACACAAAUGCAAAUGAGUGUUGAAACAUCCAUAUAUAAUUGAAACAAAAGUUUCCAAAGUAAUGCUACUCUACUGUCUGCGAUGCACACGUAUUUUCUAUUGUAUUCUAUUUCACUUUAAAAAUAAAUGCUAGUUGCAAACCAUAAAAUUUAUACCCCUAAUGGGGGGGCUGUGGUCCACAGUUUGCAAAAACAGUUAUUUAGCAAUUAUAGUCAUCUAUACUUUUGAAAAAUGUAGCAGAUGCACUAAGAAACUUCCACAAAAAUAUGUAUUCAUAAGCUGAGUGAACUAAAGACCUCUUUAAGGAUACAGUGUGACAUAUGAUAGGGGCUCAAUAUAAAUUUGAAGAAAUAAUUAAAAGAACAUAGUAGAACAGGCCAGGCGUGGUGGCUCAUGCUUGCAAUCCCAGCAUUUUGGAAGGCUGAGGAAGGUGGAUCAUCUGAGGUCAGGAGUUCAACGUAGCCUGGCCAACAUGCUGAAACCCGAUCUCCACUAAAAAUAUGAAAAUUAGCCGGGCGUGGUGGCGCAUGCUGGUAAUCCCAGCUACUCGGGAAGCUGAGGCUGGGGAAUCGCUUGAUCAUGGAAAGGCGGAGGUUGCAGUGAGCAGAGAUUGUGCCACUGCAUUCCAACCUGAAUGGCAGAGCGAGACGCCGUUUCAAACAGCAACAGCGACAACAACAACAACAUAGUAGAAAAGAAGAAAAGAAGGAAAGAAGAAGAUACUGUGGAGAAGCCAUAACUGCAAGUGAGCAGAUAAGGCAACUGAAAUGAGCCUCAAGCAACUUAGAGGUGGCCUAGUUUUGGCAAAGAUUUUAGGCUGUUUAUAAAGCAAAAUAACAACUGGUAUGACUUUAAGUGCUAAAUAUUUUUGUAAAAAAAUAUAGUGAGGCCAGCACAGUGGCUCACACCUGUAAUCCCAGCACUUUGGGAGGCCAAGGAGGGCGGAUUAUCUGAGGUCAGGAGUUCAAGUAGUCUGGCCAACAUGGUGAAACCCGUCUCUACUAAAAAUACAAAAAUUAGCAGGGCGUGGUGGCCCAUGCCUGUAAUCCCAGCUACUCGGGAGGCUGAGGCAGGAGAAUUGCUUGAGCCCGGGAGGCAGAGGUUGCAGUGAGCUGAGAUCGUGCCACUGCACUCCAGCCUGGCUGACAGAGCAAGACUCUGUCUCAAAAAAAAAAAAAAAAAAAAAAUAGAAAUAGUGACCAGUUGAGGAAAGUUUAAAGCCUUUUGUGAUGAAUGGAUAUGGCUUUGAAUCCCAGAUUUUCCAGUGACCAGCUUUGUCAAUGUGGAAGCUUUUUCCACCACAUCUUGUGUGGUCUUUAAUAUUGGGGUGAUGAUAUCUAGCUAACCAGGUUAUGAUGAGACUUUAUAAUAAUAACACAUAGAAGGAACAUGAUAGGGCCUAAUAGGUAGCAAACGCUCAAGAAAUAAGAAAUCUUAUUUUGUGUGUUAGAUGUUGGUUGUUUUUUUUGUUUUACCCAACUCUGACUUUAGCUUUCUUUUAUGCUGAAUGAAUCUGCCUUUCAAAAUGUUGCAUCAGACACUAACAUACCUUCUCUGCCCAAAUUGUUAACUAGCAGAUAAUCAGGAUGACUCCACCUUUGUACCUGACUGAGGAACUUAGUGAACCCUGAAGAAAUGAUGAUUAAAGAGACAAUGAAGAGGCCAGGCGCAGUGGCUCAUGCCUGUAAUCCCAGCACUUUGGGAGGCCGAGGUAGGCGGAUCAUGAGGUCAGGAAAUCGAGACCAUCCUGGCUAACAUGGUGAAACUCUAUCUCUACUAAAAAUACAAAAAAUAAGCUGGGUGUGGUGGCACGUGCCUGUAAUCCCAGCUACUCAGGAAGCUGAGACAGGAGAAUCGCUUGAACCCAGGAGGUGGAGGUUGCAGUGAGCCGAAGUCGUGCCGUUGCACUCCAGUCCGGGUGACAGAGUGAGACUCUGUCUCAAAAAAAAAAAAAAAAAAAAAGGACAAUGAAGACAGGAGACAUUGGGCUGUGCCCUUCUAGAUAUGACAGGGAGCAAAUAAGCCAACUCCAGGUCAGUAUAAAAUCCUAGGUGAUCAUUAAAAUCACUUAAAUAAGCCAACUCCAGGUCAGCAUAAAAUCCUAGGCGAUCAUUAAAAUCACUUAAAAUUAAAAUCCUAGGUGAUCAUUAAAACCACUUCAAAAAGACAUGUUUUGGGAGCUAUGUGUUCAGGGAAACAGAGGAGAAAACAACUGGGACUCUAUGAGGUGCCAGGUUUGAAGCUGUAUGGAUGUGACUGAUGUCAGGUUUUCAUGAGCCCAGUGGAAAAUUUAGAGGCAGUAAACUGGGCAACUGGGGCUGUUGGUGCUUGAGUAAUGCUUGGGCAUCAAGAUCUCCAAACUGUGUGGCCGCACCUGUGGUCCUAGCUACUCAGGAGGCUGAGGUGGGAGGAUAGUUGGAGCCUGGGAGAUUGAGGCUGCAGUGAGCUGUGAUGGUGCCACUGUACUCUAGCCUGGGUGACAGAGCGAGACUUGUCUCAAAAAAAAAAAAAUCUCCAAACUGGACUCUCUCUCACUAGGGAUUUGUCUCUUUCUCCUCUCCUUCUCUUCCUUCCUAAUUAUCUCCUUUUCUUUAUUCACAAUAUAUAUAUCCUCAACUAUGGAUAAGUGUGCUUAUACUCAGCUAUAUUUUCUUUUUUUCCAGCUAUAUUGAUGUAUAAUUGACAAAUAAAAAUUAGAUAUUGUUAAGGUGUACAACAUAGUGCUUGACAGAUAUAUACAUUGUGAAAUAAUUACCACAACCAAGCAAGCUAGUUAACAUAUCCAUCACCUCAUGUAGUUACUUUUUUGGGUUUUUUUUUUUUUGGUGUGGUGAGAACACUGAAAAUCAACUCUCUUAGCAAAUUUUGAGUAUUCAAUGAAGUAUACUUGAAUAACACUGUAUACAAAUUCAAGUAUAAAUUCAAGUAUACAAUGCUAUUAGCUAUAGUCAUCCUGCUAUAUAUUAGUUCUCCAGAACCUACUCAUCAUAUAAGUUAACGUUUGUACCCUUUGCCCAAGACCGCCCCACUUCCUCCUCCCACCAGCUGCUGGUAACAACCAUUCUACUCUCUGUUUCUAUGAGUUUGACUUUUUUAGGUUUUGCAUAGAAGUGACAUCAUGCAGUAUUUAUCUUUCUGUGUCUGGCUUGUUUCAUUUAGCAUAACGUCUUGCAGGUUCAUUCAUGUUGUCGCAAAUGGCAGGAUUUCCUUAUUUUUAAAGGCUGAAUAUUCCAUUGUGUGUGAAAAUAUAUGAUAUCAACUGUAUUUUCAUAUAUGUGUCUAACUGGAUGGCCUCUUAAUAAACUUUAAAGGAUUAAAGAUUGUCAUUAGAGAAUUCUAAAUAAGGUGGUUUUAGGUUCAUAUUAUACAAUACAUGUAAUGUGCAUGCAUUAUGUCGACUCUUAUUAAAUUCUAAGUCCUACUCAAUAGUGUUGAGAGCAUUAAUGCACCCAAGAAUUUUGUUUUUUUAUUUAACUUAGUGAGAAAAUAUAACUUAAUAUAUAGCAAUUCACUUAGAUUGAUAUAGAAGUAAUUAACACCACAUUCUUAUUAAUAGAUUUCUACAUAUUUGCAAUGACUAAUAACUAAAAAUGUAAAAAAUAAGGAAGUUACAUUAUAGGCUUCCGAAAAAUAUGCCUUUCCACAUGUGGGAUUUCAAGAAAAAAAUAUCAGCACAAAAGUAUGUAUUAGAAUGCUUGGAAUAGUCAACCAAAAUUUCACACAAUAUAAACAAGACAAAUCGGUACAAUUAAUAAUAGAGGACUGGAUGUUCUGCUGUAAGUUUUUGAUACAUAUUAAGUAUUUCUCAAUUUUUGGUACAUAUUAAAUUUCCUCAGGGUGUUUGUUAGUAAUAUGGAUUUUGGGAACCACCCUGAGAGAGAUUCUGACCCAGAAGGUUUGAGGUGGAGCCCAGGUAUUAUUUGCAAGCAUUGCAGUCCAUUCUUUUUUUUUUUUUUUUGAGACGGCAUUUCCCCAUGUCACCCUGGCUGGAGGUGCAGUGGCACAAUCUCCGCUCACUGCAACCUCCACCUCCCGGGUUUCAGUGAUUCUCCUGCUUCAGCCUCCUGAGUAGCUGGGACUACAAGUGCUUACCAGCUAAUUUUUUGUAUUUUUAAGUAGAGAUGGGGUUUCACCAUGUUGGCCCAGCUGGUCUUGAACUCCUGACCUCAAGUGAUUCACUCCUCUCAGCCUCCCAAAAUGCUAGGAUUACAGGUGUGAACUUCUAAUUACAUCUUGAGAAACUGGUCUAGGAUAAUUCAGAUGAAUUUUUUUUUUUUUUUUUUUGCUUUCCCAUAUUUUAGAUGUAACCAAAGUGGUGCACUCAAUGUUUAAGUACAAAGAAGGAUGAAGAGGUAGAAAUUUGAGGCAGCUUUUCAACCUGUUUCUGUCACUUUGUUUUCCAUCUUUGUUGCAUGCUUUAAACAAAUACACCAGUUGUCUUAAUUGAGCCUUCCGGAGCAUAUCCCCAUUCCACAUGUGCCCGUGAAUCUGUGGCCACAUGUACACAUAAUGAUUUGGAGUUCCAUUUCUUAGAAAAAAUGAAGAUUGACCCCGAUUCUUUAAGUGCUGGGAGUAUUACCAUAAUAAAUGGUAUCACUGCAUGAUAAGAGCAAAUGUGUGAUUUUAGUCAACAUAUUUUCUACAUGACUAAUGAGAGACUUGCAGCUUGGAUACACAGCAGUGUCUAGAGUCAGUGGCUAAGCCGUGGUAGGUCUCUAUGAAGUGGGGAAAUAUUUCUGACCAACCCCAGGGAGAUGUUUGCAGUGUGGAGUGGAAGCUGCCCUGCUGUGGUUUAGCACUGCAAAAACUCUCCCUUACAUAUGCAAUUUGCAUAUUCCUUUAUAUACUGAAAGGCCACCUGAACAUAGGUGGUCAAAAGACCUUUUUUCUACCUUCCUUCUUCUGUUCUUUCCAUUGGAUCUUUGAUUCUGAGAAGUCUGCCCCAUAGAAAGGAGGAGGCUUAACUCUAGGAAUGCUUCCUGUUCUCCUUCUCUUUCGUCUUUCUUCUCACUCCCAGCCCUGAAGGCAUCACAGAGGCAUCAGUGAUGCUUUUUUUUCCUCCUCCACUCCAGUCUGCUCCGCAGAACCCCAUGUCCUCAGAUAAAAUGCCACCAAAAAGUCUGAAGGUGCUUUGCAAUGGAAAUGGAUUAUUGAAGACACAAAGACCCGUAGUAAAUUUUACAGUUUAUACUUCUGUGAUGUUGUUAUUCUUAAAAUUGACAAGAAAAAUCAGGAAAUUUACAUAACUCCUGUGAGUUUCUAGGACAAAUGAGUUUAUGACUAUAAAACACCUUGUAAUCUAAUCUACAGAACUGUAGGUAAAUAUAAUUGGGCACUAUGAUUGUUGUUGUCAUCGUCUUUCUUGUGAAGAGUGAUAAUCCUGAGAAAAUCAAAAGCUAGCUCUGUGCCAAGUUCAAGUUGAAAGAGCAAGAGAAAGCCAGCUGGGCGGCUGCAGUUCACUUUAUGGUGGGCCCCAGGAAGCUGAGGCAUCCAGUCACCCAGCUGCUGAUCGGCUGAGUUAGGAAUCAGACUCCUAGCUUUUGUUCCAGAAUCAAGACAUGCCCCUUGAGGCUCAGCCAUAAGAGCUUCACUUUGACCCUCAGAGCCCUGCUCUUUGCCUGGAUGGUUCACCUUUGUGGACACUGUCCCAGCCAGCCAGCCUCUUCCCAUUGUUCCUUCCCUAGCCCCUGCCCUGCCCUGAUUGGUGAAGUUGCUGCCAGGGACCAGGAGGCCACCCUCCCAAUUGUUUAUUAUAAACAGGGGGAGAAAAGUGGGGAAGGAAAAGUGCCAGAGGAGAAUCUCAUAUCUAGCUGCCCAAGCCAAUCCACUGAACACCCAUUACAUAUGCUGGCUAAGCGUCCAUUGAUCUUUCCCAUUAGAACAAUGAUAGUCUCCAAGUAUAUAUGGGUUACAGGUUUUGGAACACAGUGAAAGUGGAUAAUGGUUUUUAUGGGAAAAUGCAUUCUGAGAUGGAAAUCACCAACUUAGUAACAAACAUUUAGGACUUAAUGCUGUCCACAAAUUGAGGACUACCUUUCAUUUAUGCAGCAGUUACAAUUCCAUAGCCAGAAGUGCUGACAUUCCAUUAAAGAAGAGCAAGAAGCGAUGGGGAAAACACCCUGAAAACUACAAUAAUCUUUGAUGCCAAGAGAGAGGAGCAGCAAACAUUAUAAGAAUAACAUACAGCAAACUUUGCCAAAUAAUGGGGAGUUCCUCACACAUGAAGCUUGCUUCCUGAGAAACAACAGAUCCACUUAAAGACUACUCUUAGGAAUAUUUUCUUUGGCUUUGUCAAACAUUUUGGACUUUUCUGCAACCAUGUCCCAAUAAAUGUACCUCAUUAAAAAUAUAAAACUAGCUGGGCACAGUGGCUCAUGCCUGUAAUCCCAGCACUUUGGGAUGCUGAAGUGAGAGGAUCCCAUGAUCCCAGGAGUUUAAGACCAGCCUGGGCAACAUACAGAAAGCCAGUCUCUACCAGAAAAACAAAACAAAACAAAAAAACAGCGAGGCAUGUUGGCACAUGGCAAAUGCCUAUGGUUCCAGCUACUCAGGAGGAAAAAAAUUUUUUUUGAAGUAUGUAUUCAAAUGAUAUGUAUUGCUUUAUUAUUGUUAUAUAGUGAUACAUAAUCAGUGAAGAAAUAAUUAAAACAAUAAAAUGAUUAAGAAGAAAAUAUAGGCCAGGUGCAGUGGCUCAUGUGUGCAAUCCAAGCACAUUGGAAGGCCGAGACGGGAAGUUCAGUUGAGCAUCAGAGUUUGAGACCAGCCUGGGCAACAAAGUGAGACGCUGUCUCAAAAAGAAAAAAAAAGAAGAAAAUGAAAGAAAAAGAAAAAAAAAAGAAAAAUUAGCCAGGCACGGUAUGGUGGCACACACUUGUAGACUCAUAGUUCUCCCAACUACUGGGAAGGCUGAGGUGGGAGGUUGACUUGAGCCCGGGAGUUUGAGGAUGCAGUGAGCUAUGGUCGUGCUACUGCACUCCCGCCUGGGUGACAGAGUGAGAAUCACUCUCCAAGAGGAAAAAAAAAAAAAAGACAAGAGAAGAAAAGGAAAUAUGACCUAAAUACAUUUAAUGACCUCUUUUAACCUUUUAGAGAUCAUGCGUAAACACACCACACAUAUAUUUUAAUGAAAUAUUCAGUCAUAUUGAAAUAUGGUAGUAUAGUCUGCUUUUUAACUUAAAUAUAGUACAGAUCUCUUUCCAUGUCGUGUAUAGUAUAACAAUUAAGGUGAAUAUGUUUAGUAUUUCAUUUUAUGGCUGACUAUAUUUUAUUUCACUAAUCCACAUUUGACAAUCAGAUGAUUGUAAUAUUUUCACAACUUUAUAUUCUCAUAAUUCAGUUGUUGUACUAAGGCAUAUUUAUCUUUUUUGUAUAUGAAAUUUAUCAGAUACUUCAAUUGUUUUAAGCAAGCUUUAUGAGAUUACUUUUCUAGGUCUACUGGUGUCUGUGGUUUCUAAGAUCACGUUGCCUGUAUUUCUAGACAAAUCAGAUAAUGUGAUUUCAGAACACCUGAUUAUUUCAGUCAAUUGAAAGAAACAACUGGUCAACCCAGUGCAUAAUAUUAUCUUUUUUUUCCCCUCAUAAGUAAGAGACACAUAAAAUUCUUAGGCUAGUUUACAGUCUCAUACUAGUUUAUAUGAGACAGAAAGUGCCGACUGACGGAAGACCCAAGCUGACAGCAAGCUUUCGUUUCUCAGAUGCCUUAUGAAAAGAACCCCUUAUGUUAAUUUUCUCAGUUAAGUCCUACAGUUCUCCGUUAAUUUCUCAAUGAAAUCCAGAGGACUAAGUUAACUGACCCUUUAGCUACCCCCGGUAAUGAAUCGUUAGCUACAAUGUUAAUAGAGACAGAAGGAAAUAUGGUAUUGCCUAUAGUACAGGAGAAAUAAAAAUUUGGUGAAUGCCAUUGAAAACAAAAUUGUAUUUCAGGACCUAUUCUAUUUUAUAGAAUCCUUCUUCAGCAACAACAAACUAAGGGAACUGCAUAUUAGAACUACUGGUCACUAUUUAGCUAAAUUAGCAUCCAAAUGUGCUAAAAUAUUUACUCUUCAGCCAUCUGGGCCAACAUUUUCAAGAUAUGAUAUGGGCCAUCAUUUUCAAGAUUGAUAUUGAUAAAGAAAUGGUGAAUGGGGAUUAGGAAAGGUGAAGUGAAAAACUUAUUAUAAUCCAAGAUUGUGAAUAAAUGUUUAUAGAUGAGAAGGACAGUUUGACAUAGACCUCAUCUGAUGAGAUGUGAAUCUAUACAUAGCACAGAUCUGUUUAUAUUCACAUGAAGGAAGAAAAAAAGCUGGCAUAGCACCAGCUGUUAAAUUUGUAGCCAUCAUUAUUUUCACAUUAACACCUGUUGAAUCAGAGAUACUGGCACCUGUUGAUUUUGCCUGUGCAUCUAUUUAGCGCUAUAUUCUUAAAUGUGAAUACAGUAGGGGAAGAGCCAUAUUAAUGAAUCAUGAUAUAUAUAAAAUAAUGAACAGUUAUCCGUCUAGAGGUUUCCAAGAAAUAAAUAAAUAAAACAACUUGAGGACCUCUGUGUUCUUAAAUGUGAACACAAUAGGGUAAGAGGCAUAUUAACGGAUCAUGAUAUAUAUAAAAUAAUGAAAAGUUGUCCCUCUAGAGGGUUCUAAUAAAUAAUAAAACAACAUGAGGACCUCAGAACAACAUUAGGAUGAAUAUUUUGGGAAGUUCUGAUCAAACCAAGCAGCAGUGCCUGAGCACAUUCUGACAUCUGGACCCCGGGGUCUGUAUCCAGCACGAUGGAUACUGAGCAGUACUUCUGGGUGUGAUUUCUUGGCCAUGUAGGCUAUUGUAAAGAGAAAGUAUUUCAUUUAAAAAGGUCUGUAUGGUGUUUUUGUAUUUAAAGUGCAAAAAUUUUAGAUAACUUAGCUUGAUUUUUGGCUUUGAUAGGAGUUUGUGGGGGCUGUUCAUUAUUGAAAUCUAUACUUAAGAAUUUAGGACAUUCUAUUUAUUAUGUGUUUCCAAAGCUAAAACGUUUAUUAUUUGAGAUGAUUACUCACAAUAUUUGCAAAACCAUAAAAAUGAGAAUACCAUCAAAUAUAGGUUACUUUUGAAUAAAGAACUUGGAAGUAACGACGUUUCUAUUUAAAAAAUCAUCUCCUGCACUUUCUGUUUCCUCAUUAAAAAUAGUAAUAUGAAACUUCAGAUGAAAAUGCUUUGGACUAUCUCUGACUUAAGGAGAGAUGCAAAGAAAGAAAUUUUAGUUUUCAAAUAGUUACUUCUUUCCCCUCUCAGUCAGGCACUAUCAGAAUGUUUGGUACCACAUUAAUUCUAGGAGACAGAAAACAUAAUGGCCAUAUAGUCUUUUGACAAUCAAAAGUAUUUUAUCUGAGGUGGUGUGUAAAAUACUUCUAAGUAAUUAUGAAAGAUUUCCUAGUUAUAGGACAAGAAAUGAAACCUGUUUCAUCCAUCUUGAGAUAAUCGGCUUCACACUAAGAGGUUUUCUCCUUGCCUCCUCUUCCCUGUUUGCUUCCGAUGCAUCCCAGAAGCUUCAGCAAGCUUUGCAGCAUUGGUGUAGCAGACGCUUAUGAAAACACAGGUUGCUGCGUCCAGUCCCAGAAUCUGAAUUGGCAGGCUUGGGGUGGCCUGAGAAUCUGCAUUUCUAACUAGUGCUCAGGUGAUACUGAUGCUGCCAGUCCUGCGACCACACUUUGAGAACCACUGAUGUAGGGUCAGUUAUAUAUAUAUUUUUAUUAAAUGCUUUAUUUCAUUGAAAGCUAUAUGUAGCAACCUCAUAGUUUUAAAAUUAAGUUGAUAGAGCAGAAAGAAGAAAUGAUGGUUGCUCACUUUGGUACCCAUUUUACUAGUGAAGUUGCAAAUCUCCAAUCUAUGUCACUCCUGAUAAGUGAUUUUAUACAAAUUGGGCCAUUCCCUUGAGUGCCUCACUUGGAAAAAUGUCAUGUGUGACAAGAAAGCUUCAAAAAACAUCAGGCGGAGGGGGUCCUGUUUAAGAAAUUACAGGACAGAUACAUAAUAAGUACCUAAUGAUUUGCUGAAUGAGUACACAAAAGAAUCAAUUAUAUCCUUUUAAGUUUAUAUAUUAUAGUUACCAUUUUCAACACCAAGUUCAUUUUGAGAAGAAAAUUGGGAAGAAAAUUAUUUUAUGCACAUAAUUCUCUCCCUUACCUAUCCUGUUCUAUCUUAUUCUUAUCUAAGAUCUCCGUGGGUCUUUUUAUCCUUAAGAAGUUUUGGAGGCAAGGAAGAGCAGAAAUCACUCUCCGCAUUGGAUAGAUGAAGAAAGGAGCCUCAGAGAAGAGAUUCAGAGGUUCUCCUAAGGCCACUAACUAAUAAAUGAUGACAUGAGAGUAAACUGAAGACUUGCAGUGCCAGGGUUGGUGUGGUCCUCCCUGAUGGGGGCCUUGACCUGUGAGGCCAAGGACAACAAAGGAACAGCUGUCUCCUUGCCAUGGAAGUGGCCCAGUAACCAGAAGGACUCAACUGUCAGGGCUGCAAGAACUUCCCAAGGACCCAGCUCUCUGCUGGAGCUGCAAUCAAGAAAUUGAAACACCUGUGGAGCCCCACCUCGCUGAAGAACCAGCACACCUGUCGACCACUGUCUUUCCACCUGCAGAUCCAGGAAGAAAACCAAAGCAAGGAGUAGGGAGAGGCUGUCCUCGGAGAGGCUGUUCUAGGACUGUGCUGCUCCCCUGGGUGCGCAGCCCCUGUGUCUUCCUCCUUGCGUUACCACUUUCCCUGCCCAUGAACUGAAGGCUCUCUCCUCCCUCUCCCUCUCUGCAUCUUAAAGCUGAGCCCACUAACAUAAAGCCUGGACAACUUGAUCUGCAGUGAAAUCUUGAAGACAAAGUCUGGCCUCCUCAUUAGAAUCCACAUGUUAUUGAGCCUUACCCACUGGUGCUGGCCCUGGCACAGAGAAGGCAACUUAAUACGUUAAUACAACUUAAUAAACUUGUAGAAUGAAUGAAUAUUGUCUGGAAGACACACCAAGUCAAGGGUCGUUUGACAUCUAAUGUUCAAAAACUAUUUUGUGCACCUACCAUUUAGUGGGUACUAUCCUAUUUAUUUAGGACAUGCUGGUGAAGCAAACGGAUUCAUUCUCUGCCCUUGAUAUAUUUUAGCAGGGAAUACAAACAAGUAGUUGCCAUGCAUGUGAUGGUAUGAGAUCCAACAGAUGAAAAGCUCUUACCACCUCCAGGCUCUGUGUUGCACAGAAGCACAGCCUACACUAGAGUCUUCAGUUCCAGCUGACUUUGCAAUCUGGACUUUCCAACGUCUAGUGUGAGCUAAGAUUUGGCUGCCUUUCCCCACUUCCUGCCCCAUGUAGCAGGCCUCUUUUGGCCCUGGGUAUGGAGUAUUCCUACCUCUUGGCAUAAUUCCAGUCUUAUGUAGUGACACCUGCAUCGGUGAGUGGCUGUAGCAACUAUCUAGGCCUGUCUAGAAAUUAAAGCUCUAACUCUAAACUUUGAAAGUCAGGCAAGCAACAGCAGCCCUUCCCUUUCAGGCACCUACCAGCCAUCCUGCUGAAGAUAACCUGGAUUUGCAUCUUCUGGAUGGGAUAGAAGCUGUGACUAAUACUGAGCCAUCUAGGGCAGCAGCCCCCAACCUUUUUGACACCAGGAACUGGUUUCGUGGAAGACAAUUUUUCCACGGACUUGGGGUGAGGGGGAUGGUUUCAGGAUGAUUCAAGCACAUUACAUUUAUUGUGCACUUUAUUCUAUUAUUGUUACAUUGUAAUAUGUAAUGAAAUACUUAUUCAACUCACCAUAAUGUAGAAUCAGUGAAUCAGUAGGAGCCCUGAGCUUGUUCUCCUGCAACCAGACGGUCCCAUCUGGGGGUGAUGGGAGACAGUGACAGAUCAUCAGACAUUAGGUUCUCAUGAGGUGUGUGCAACCUAGAUCUCUCACAUGCACAGUUCUCAAUAGAGUUCGUGCUCCUAUGAGAAUCUGAUGCUGCUGCUGAUGUGGCAGGAGGUGAAACUCAGGUGGUAACGUGAGCAAUGGGGAGUAGCUGUAAAUACAGAUGAAGCUUCGCUCACUCACCUAGCACUUGCCUCCUGCUGUGAAGCCCAGUUUGUAACAGGCCACAGCCAUGGACUAACUAAAAUUAUCCCUAAGUGAAGGUGAGGAUUUCAAAGGCCAAUACAAUGUGUUGAAUGCGGAAGCACUGCAGGGUCUGGAUGCUCAAAUAAUUGUUCUUUUUCUCAAUUUUGGAAAGAAAGUUGUCAAUCUAAAAAGAGCGGUGUUGAAGAACCUGCUCAUUAGAUUAGCCAUGCUUGGCUAAAGGGGAAUGUUAUAGUACUUUCUUUUUUUUCUUGAGUAAAAUCACACUCUGGAAAUGGUUGAGUUGCAGAAACAUCUGGGGGCACUUUAUGACGUUAAUAAGAAGUUUGGCCCUUGAUGCAAGGUUAAUUUAUUUGGGAUGAAACCAUAGCUAGUUCAACUUCCUAUCAUGCUCUCCAGAAAAACCCAUGGCCUGGAAUCCUCCAGGCAAAGCUCAUUUACAUUUUUUAUCUCCCUAUAGUCAAUUCUGAAAUUCCAGUGGUCAUGUUCAGACAUAACUUACUAGAAGAGUCAUUUCAUUCAGAAACGUCUUAAUUUUAAAUGACAUCUUGAGUCUCCAAAUCUGUGCUAUGGAGACUUCUUUAUUUUGAGGUGCUCAUUCUGGUUGAGUAUAUUUAGUGUUUAAGAAAGCAAUUCAAAAGUUAAAAACUAUGUUUGUUUGUUUUUUUUCAUUGAGUCCCUCUGUCUGGACAAGGAAGACUCCUUCUAAUACCCUUUCUGGUGCUGCAGACUUUCAAUUUCUACUUACAGUGUUUGUGGAUGGCAAUGGAAAAUGUAUUUCCUGCUGAGCCUGAACUGGAAAUAAAAUUUUGGAGAACUUUGGGAAAAACUGGCAAAGAUUCCACCAAGGUGCACAUCCAAGGGGGCUCAAAUAGUUGCAGAUAUCCCCUUGGUAUGGGGGUGAGUUGCAUGGUAGGAGGAGCUCCACUUGGGGAGCUGAUGGACCUGUGUUUAGAGUCCCACUCCACCAUAAUUCAUUGUGUGAUUAGCCCCUCCACAAAAAAGGGGGGAUUAUAUGGUGUUCCUGCUUGUUGAGUGAAGAUUAGAGUCUGUGAAGGGCUUAGCACAGAGCCUGGCCCAUCGCAAAGACUGGAUACAUGGAAGUGCUUAUUGUUACCAUUCUCUGUAGACAAACUCCAGGAUAGAUUUGACCUGAUUCACCUGGGGUUAUUCUAAUUUCUGUGUUGAGGAACGAGGUGCCCUGUAGAACUCAUGGUUGAAGUAAGUGCUUACACUAUACUGACCGGUUCACCAUGCUAGGUCACUGGGUGAAAUGCACUUGGAAAGUCAAGUGCUCCGUAGAAUUCUAGAUGGUUGGGGGAGGUUUGGGGAGGAACUAACUAGAAAGCGAGAUCUUACAAGUAACAAAAUACCCCAGAGAAGUAAAGGCUAGAUCUAAAAUCAAAGAUACAUUCUUUCAUUCAGUAAAUAUUUAAUUACUUAACAUGUGGUGGACCCUGCGGGGGAUAUGUGGAUAGUAGAUGCAAAAGCUACCGUCUUUACUAACACUAUUCUUUCCUUAUCUGCAACUGGGCUCAGCUAAUUUAGAAUCUUCCAUUUCUUUUCAGUAGCUAGAACGUGGGUAUGAUGGUCAAUUUUUGAAACCCAUUUAAUGUUGUCCUAGAGCUAACUCAGCUAGCUGCGUCUGCUUUAUUCGGGCGUGUCUAAUUCACUUUCUGUGUGCAGGGGAUGCCUUGGGCACAUUGUCCAGAUGCAUGGGACUGGACACCACAGAAGUCUUGCUUCACCUAAUCUUUGAGUGAAAGUGUCGGUCCUUAUUGCAUGUAUUGCAGAAGUGUCUCUGGGGUAAAGAAUUCUCCUUCCAGCACUGUUAAUGCACAGUUAAGACACUGACCCUGAGGUCUGGCUGUGAGCUUAUUCAAUCCCCAACUUGGAAAGUCAAAGCAUCAUCUUGAACUUGGUAUGUAGGAAAUAUUUGUUGUUACUAAUAGAUAUGGAGAACACUAUAAUGGAUUUGAGAUGUCCAUGAGAUAUUUAGGUGUGCAUGCCUGACAGCCUUCUAAAAUGUGGGCCUGUAGCUCUAGAGAAAAGCUAGAGAUGAGGGAUGAACAGGUGGGAAGUCAUCUGUUCAGUGGUAGUAUCUAAAACCACGAGACUAGGAGAGAUCACCAGUGGAGUGUCAGGUGGCUAGCAGAUGGGGUAAUUACUGGCCAGGCUCCACAGUAGAGACUUAGCUCCCAUGUGUAGGGUCACCCCUCCCCUGAAUCUGCAAUUCUAUCUCUUGUCAAGGAGGAAUGGAAGCAAUUUUCUGUGUACUGCCUUUUUGCCUCCUCUUCUUCUUGGUGAAGUAGUUUGCUGGAGUUCCAGUAAUUAAUUCCCAUUUUUGUCUAUUCGUGUCUGAUACUCUUCUCCAUAUGGAGUGGCAGGUGACUGGGGAAGUGCUCAGUAGUGACCUGGGAACUCGAGUGACCACACAACACAGUAUCUUUGGUGCCGGAGAGCACAUACUAGUUUAGUAUCUAAAUGAGACUUUGGAGUCAGAUAUAGAUGAACAGUUCAGCUUCAAUAUACAAGUCUAUACAAGACAAGAUGGUGGAAGAAGAGCAAAGUGCAAACCCAAGGGGGCCCAGAACUGUGGAACCUGUAGUUGAGAGGUUGAGCUCGGGGGAGAAGUGAGCUCCCUGGAGAUGGUUCUUCAUGUACAUUCUUUGAUUGCUUGGAAUCACCCUGAGACAGACGUUCUUGCUGAAGUUCUAGCCUAAUUCUCAACCCAAUCCCCUACUUCUUUGACUUCCCUACCAUAUCUCACUUUCCUCCAGAGAUUGUGAUUGUAAAACUCUGGUCCCCGUGGCGAUUUUCUGCCCCUUACUUUCCAGACCUUCCUGGAAAUUACUGCCUGCCAGUUUAGGCUUUGACCUUGGCCUGUGCUCCUCGCUCAUGGACCCUGCUUAGUUUCAUCUGUUGCAUUUCCAUUGUCAAGGCCUUACCCAGGCCUAGUCUCUGUUUCUGGGACAUCUUCUGGAAUGGCACUCCUGGCACUGUGAGUAUACCGCAUCUUCUAGUGCUUGCUGUAUGAAUGUAAACUCCAUCUUCCACUUCGCGUUUGGAGGUUCCUGUCAGCCAAGGGCCCUUAUCUUUGUUGAGAACUCUGUGUGUGCUCCAUGUCUCAAAUGCCUGCAAAGUAGAAUUGUAGUUCUUAUUUUGUAGGCUACAAAAGAAGGCUCAGAGAAGUUCAGGAGCUUGCGCAAAGUCACAGAACAGAAAGUGGUGGGUGCUAGGAUUAACUGUCAGAUUGGUUUGGUUCCAAAGCCCAUUCUCUUUCCAUAACUAUGGGUGGCUUUCAAGGAGGUAUGAGGAAGUAAGAAAGGUAAGAAAGACAGUGGCCAGGAAGAGUAGACCAGGAGCCUAAGAUCUUUACAGUGACACAGUUUGUGAGUAACUAACUUCAGGGAGGUGGGCUUGUUAAUAAACAGAGUGGAGAAACUGGUCACAAGUACAGAAGGGAUUCGAGGGACUCCCUUCUGUCAGCAUGAAGCUUAUCAUAAUUAACAAACUCUGCUCUUCCAGAUUUAAAAUCAAGAUGAAAUUAAUGUUUCCCUUAGAAAUGCGUGCUGUGGUCCAGGCACGGUGGCUCAUGCCUAUAAUCCCAGCACUAUGGGAGGCUGAGGCGGCUGGAUCACAAGGUCAGCAGUUCAAGACCAUACUGGCCAACAUGGUGAAACCCCAUCUCUACUAAAAGUACAAAAAUUAGCUUGGUGUGGUGGUGCAUGCCUAUAAUCCCAGCUACUUGGGAGGGUGAGGGAUGAGAGUCACUUGAACCCAAGAGGUGGAGGUUGCAGUGAGCUGAGAUUGUGCCACUGCACUUCAGCCUGGUGACAGAACAAGACUCUGUCAAAAAAAAAAAAAAAAAGAAAAAGAAAAGAAAGAAAGAAAAAAAGAGAAGUGGAUGCUGUGCUGGAAUGAGGAAUAUUGAAUUCACUUGGCUUUGGGAUACAGUCUUGUUACAUCCGGGUCCUGGAGGCACACAUGCUAUGUAUAUUUGUAACAGAUUCACACACAUGAUUGGGCCAGUAAUCUUGACCACAACCUCCAGGAAGUAUGAACUUAACAUCUGUAAGAAAAGCACAAAUGUUGCUUCUCUGGUUAGCUAUGACUAGUAAUGGCUCCACUUUGCUAGAAGUUCCUGAUGUAACACAUCUUAAUCCAAAAUACGCCUCCCCCCUACCCCCAGUAUAUGGAGAAUAGCUAACAUUCUUCCUUUUCCUCUUAGAAGGUGGAUUAGUACCACCUGUCUCAGCUAACGUUCAUGGGAUUCAGCAGGAAAAACAGUAUUAUGAGGGGAAAGCUUCUUUGAAUGCAGUAUUUUAGGAUUAUUUCUUUGGUUGCUAAACUGCUACCUUUGUAUUGAAAGGUGAUGAGACAUUUUCUGGCUGAGAGACAGAGAUAUCCUAGAAAGGUGUCAAGUUAAAAGAGGGCCGAUGAAAGGACUUGAGCCACAGCCAUCGGAGGAGGGUAAGCGAUUGAUUGCAGGCAUUGCUUACAUUUUCUUCCCACUGCUACAGUUGAGGGAAGGAUUGUGGUCAUCACCUUGCUGCCCCAUCCCACCCCUUCUUCUGUGGAAGGUAUUACCAUGGGCCAUCAUUCCAACUGGAUCGUUGCCAUCCACCAAGGCUGCUCAAUGAUUUUCUCUGUAUAGGGAAAAGGUGGAAGUUACAGUGCCUCAAGUUUCAAAGAGCUGUCUCCUUUGAACUAGGAGUCUCCUUUGAGCCGGAGUCCUGCAGCUCGCUCUUGGCUUUGGCAUUCAACGGGGAUGGUAUCAUGGGCUGGGCAUUUAACCUUUUGCUGUCUGCAUUUCCCCCGUUCUUAAAAUGGAGGUAAUUUAAUUCUCUUGCAGGAGAGUUGGGAAGAUUAAUGAGUCAAUGUUUGGUGAAGUGCUUUGAGAUUCUCAGAUGAAAGGUGCUACAUAAUAAUUACAAUAACACUUUGUUCUUACAUAGUGCCUUUCUUCUAGGGAGCUCAAACUGCUUUAUAAAAUUAUUUCAUUAAUACUCGCAGCAUCCCUCUAUGGCAGGUAGUAAUUAUAUCCCCCCAUUCUCAUAUCAGCAAUCUGGGGCACAGAGAGGCAAACUGACCUGGCCAAGGUUACACAGUAGGUCACUGAUAAAAUCAUCAGUUGAAUUCAGAUCUGAUUCAUUCAUUUGUUUGUUCCCUCAUCCACCAAUAUUUACCCAUGAUUAUAUGUCUGACACUUGAGCUAUUGGAUAAAAGAGGAUGUGAUACAAAGUUAAAUGAAAUACACUCUCUUUGAAGAGAUUUAGUCCGGUUGAACAUGUGCAUAAAUCAUUAUAAUAAAAUAUAGCAAUCAUAUAAUACAAUGGGUUGAUAGAAACAAACAUGCAUCUAAAGUAGGCGAAAAGAAACAAGAAAUCUUAGUUUUACUAAAGAGAUAUCAUAUGAGUGAACUUUCUCUUGAGCAAUGAGUUCACAAAUAGAGAAAAAGAAGUUGAAGAAACUUGCCUCCGAUUAGAGAAGGAAGGACCGUGAUAAAUGUAGGGAGUGAGAUCCACUUGGCAUAGUGGGAGCAAAGGGUUUUUUAGACGGGGGAGUAGGCUAAGAAAUUUGAACUUUAUGCACAAGGCGAUUGAGAAGCAUUGGAGCUUGUUCAAGUAGAAGGAAUGAGGUCAGCAUUAUAUUUAAACCAUUAGCUCUGGUAGCCGAAUAGUAGCAGGUUUGGAUGUGGAAGAGACGUGAGACCAGAAACCAGGAAGACAGGUCUCUGACUCAAAGUCCAGACCAGUCACUGAGUGAUUCUUCUCAACAGUUUUAUGAGCUGGAGCUCCAGUGUUGUUUUGAAAUUCUGCAUGUGGCACUUCGUGAAAACAGUGACAACAAUGGUCUUUCAUGGAUAGUCCAUUUUCUCAAUUCAAGAAGCAUACAAAUUAAAAAAAAAUAUCUAUAAUUCAGCUUUUCAGUGAUGGUACAGUGAGCAAUUGUCAUUCUUCUGCCCUGAAAUCCAUCAGGCAAAAUGGUUGAGUCUACAUCAAUUACUUAUUAUAAUAGAAAGUAAGCCUUUGUUAUAUUAUUUGUUAAGUAUCUCUCCACAUUAGAUACGUGAGAAUGAUCUUCAAUGCAAAAGUAUUCAUUUUUAUUUCACGUGAUAAACUAGUCUGUGAUUAGACAUAUUUAUUUUUAUUUCUUACCCAUGAUUGUAACUAUGGAGUCCAUUUUAAGAAUGAUUUCUUGAUCACUUGUAUUUUUUUUCUUGUCAAAAUCUCUGUUAAGUGUCUGACAGAGAAAAUAUUCAAAUCACUUUGCCUACAUUAGAGGUUCUCAAAAUGUUUUUCAGGUAUGGAUGGCUGCAAGCCCACAGGCCACCUGUUGAAGAGGUAGGUGCACUUGGUCCUCAGAAUGACAGCUACUCAGUACCAGAUCUCUUUGUCUUCAUUAUUCAUGGAUAAUAAUGAGCUGGGAAAAGUCACAAUAUUCUAUGAAAUAAAUCCUGACACAUGGCUGGUUAAGCUAUUCUGCACCUUGUGGACAUACAGUAAAUGCAUCUUGAUUACCUGGCAAUGAACUCAUUUAGCCGUUUUUUUUUUUUAGCCACAGUUGCUUUAUAAAGAGUACAUUAUCUUUGUCAUUGAGUUUGCUGAGUGAAUCAGUUAGGAUAGGCAAGAUUGUGCUACAGUAAUAAACAUCCCUAAGUAUCAGUGACUAACAAGAAAGGUCUAAUUCUGGCUCAUGCAAAGUUCAUUGUAGAUCUGAAUGUCUCUCCAGCAUGCUAUCUUAUAGGUGGUUGAUCUGAAAUUCACCUUCCUAUCAAUAUGCACUUUAGUGAUUGCCAAAGCAGUAAAAGAGGGAAUUCAAACAAUGGCAGUUAAAAGCUUCUGAGAAGUUCCACUCCUCAUUUCUAUGCACAUUUCAUUGACUAAAGCAAGUCACUUUUUUAUUAUUAUUAUUUUUAAUAUUGAGUCUCGAUCUGUCAUGCAGGCUGGAGAGCAGUGGUGUGAUCUCAGCUCACUACAACCUCCCCCUCCUCGGUUCAAGUGAUUCUCCUGCCUCAGCCUCCCAAGUAGCUGGGACUACAGGUGUGUGCCACCAUGCCUGUCUAAUUUUUUUGUAUUUUUAGUAGAAAUUGGGUUUCACCAUGUUGGCCAGGCUGGUCUCGAACUCUUGACCUCAGCUGAUCUGCCUGCCUCAGCCUCCCAAAGUGCUGGGAUUUACAGGCAUGAGCCACUGUGCCCAGCUGCAAGUCACAUUAUCAUGCCUAAUUUCAAGGAGACAAAGAAUUACAAUCCUCCCAUGUGCCCUCAAGAGGGGAACAAUAUAUUUGCCAUGAGUCUUUUCUGCUGCUCUUUGAAAGUUACUAUUUUGUUCUUUGAAAAACAUCACAUAUUUCCAUUUACAAAACUUGUAUUUUAAUAUUUGAAAAUCAAGUAAUUUAUUCUUGAUGGCGUUCCUGGAAGAUGUACUGGUAUUAUUAAUCCUACUGCUUAAAUAUAGCCUACAAUAUGAAACUGUUUAUUGGUUAGUAUCUCUCACCUAAUAGCAAGCUUUUUAAUGGUGAGAAGGGGUAGGAAAUAGGACUGAUAUUUUUUUCUGCAUUCCCAUCACCUAGAAGAAGGGCUGACAUGGAGCAGGCAUUAAACAUUUUCCCACAUAUUGUGGCAUUAGCAAUUUUUACUUCAUAUACAUUUGGAAGAAGACAUAGACAGGUAAGCUGAACUGACUUUCCUCUAGGGAGAAAAAAUUCUAUUUUAUCACAGGAGAAAAUAUUUCACAAUAAUUUCUAUAGUUGGACUUCUGAUGUGUUUUCUAAUUAUACCUUAAGAAAAGCUAAAGUAUCUAAGAAAACAAAAUAACUUUUGGAAACAUUUUCCUAACUUUGGAAAGAGUUUUGCUUGGGGUAGAGUGAAGUUCACUGGGCCUGACAUGGUGGGGAGAUUACAUGGAAAUCCUACCUUGUAAAUGAACUCAGGUAACCAACGAAAGGGAAUGCUAGACUUCCUGUGAAGUGUAUUCUAACCCAGUUUCUUAGGGAUCAUUAACAGAGCUGUUUUUCAGUAUGUACUUAGGCAUCUUCAGUCCAUAAAAAAGCUAUACUAGAGGCCGGGGGCAGUGGCUCACGCCUGUAAUCCCAGCACUUUGGGAGGCCAAGGCGGGCGGAUCACGAGGUCAGGAAUUCGAGACCAGCCUGGCCAACAUAGUGAAACCCCAUCUCUACUAAAAAUGCAAAAAAAAUAAUUAGCCAGGCAUGGUGGCACAGCUGAGGCAGGAGAAUUGUUUGAACCUCAGAGGUGGAGGUUGUGGUAAGCCGAGAUUGUGCCACUGCACUCCAGCCUGGGCAACAGAGCAAGACUCCGUCUCAAAAAAAAAAAAAAAAGCUAUACUAUAAGAAAAUUCUUUAGCUUUAGCCCACUUGUCUUCUUGAAUUUUAUUCGCAUAUUUCUAGUAAUUCCUUCUAGUAUACUUAAAAUACUUCUUCCUCAUUGGCAAAAGCAUCCUUUGUAGGUUUCCAGCAUGUUCACCCCUAUUAGUUGCUAUCCUUACUUGGGGUCUAUAAUCUUUCCUUUGUGCCCUUUGUGUGCCAUGACUUUCUGGUCACCCACUGAUAUAUUCGAAUCAUUCUGACACAGAGAGCAUUAACCCUACUGUUGUGUGGUGUUGGUUUGAGGUUCUUUGUGUAAAGCAUGAAUAAAGCUGAUUUUUCUACUACUUUAGAACAUCAAUAUCGUAGAUUCAUUGGAUCUACUUGUAUCUGCAUUUUCGAUCGUCUGCUACUAAAGUCUUGCUGUUUAAAAGGAGCUGCUGUUGGCCGGGCGUGAUGCCUCACGCCUGUAAUCCCAGCACUUUGGGAGGCCGAGGUGGGUGGAUCACGAGGUCAGGAGUUUGAGACCAGCCUGGCCAACAUGGUGAAACCCCGUCUCUACUAAAAAUAUAAAAAUUAGCUGGGCAUGGUGGCAGGUGCCUGUAAUCCCAGCUACUCAGGAAGCUGAGGCAGGAGAAUCAUUUGAACCCGGGAGGUGGAGGUUGCAGUGAGCCAAGAUCACACCAUUGCACUCCAGCCUGGGUGACAGAGCAAGACUCCGUCAAAAAAAAAAAAAAAAAAAAAAGACGGUUUUCUUCCACUGACUUCAUUCUUUAUUCUGAUAAUACUUUAAAUUAGGGAAGAAUAGAUUAUUUGCAACUAGAGGCUACUGUGGUGGGUUCCUUGGUAGGUCAACAGGUUCCUUCUUGGUCUAUCUGAGACUUUAGGGAAUUUUCAUUCUUUACUUAUUUUCCUGGAUCCUGAAAGGAGGUAAGGGGUCAUGGCAGGAAUUAGAAAACAAGUGAAAGCCACUUUUUAUUAAGUAGGCACUAAAUAUAGAGGGGUGAAAUCAAAGAUUCCAGGGAUGCUAUGCUUGCACACCAGGUCUGCCAUUCUAGCCCCGUGCUUUGUGUAUGUCAUAGUGUGUAGUUCAACGAAGACCAGUCCUUUGAAGAACUCACAGGGUAAAAGGCAGGAGCUCUAAAAUGCAAGGCGUUUUCUUGUUUAAAGUUUCUGGUCAAUAUGCCUGAGUAUCUAAGGGAUGGCCAAGGGUAUUGGCAUAGGAGUAGAAGUGGAGGAGGUAAAAGAAGAUGGAAUGGUUUCAAGAAGUUAUAGGCAGUCAGGGGACUCCUACCUGAAUCCCAGAAGGUUGUCAGAUGUUGCCUUAAGGGCAUUUUAUUUUAGUUAUAGGUUUGGAAGAGUCAUUUUAGCGUUGUUUCAACUUUUCUGGGGGGUGUGAGGAAUAGGGAGACAUGGGGAAAUAGAAAAAGCUAAGGAAUCAGAGCUUCACUGUUUUUUCUUUUUAUUUUUUUUAAAGACACAUUUUUCUCUUUUUCCAAAUUAAUGUAUAUUUGAAAACUUUGGCUUCUGGGUGGAUCCCUCUGGAUCUUGUCUAAUGAGCAUCCAUGUAUUUGAAGUGGUAUCAGCAUGCACACACCUUAUGCUCUGCCUUUUGUUUUACUGCAUGCUAGUUCAUAUAUUCUGCAUGUCAAUAUUGUUCAGUACUAGUCAUUUUUAAUAGCUAUCUGUGUUGUGGCUAGUUAAGCUACUACAUUUGAGUUGUCCUGUGCCUAAAUUUUUACAGUUGAUGAUCUUUCUGAUUUUAAAGAUUGUAUAAACUUACAUAAUGUAAUGUAAAGUGUUUGCGUUGGUGUCUAAAUUAGAUGCUGGCUAAGGGUUGCCCUCUUUUCUUUCCUUUUGGUUCCCAAUUGGAUGCAGCCCCCAAACUUUGAGAUUUCUGACUCCCAGCGCUCAUCUCCAAAACCAUCAAUCCCAAGAAGGUGAUUUUCAUAUAAUAAUUUUCUGCUCAUAGUUUUAACCUCUUUUGGUGCGUUUCUAUUAUUUCUUUGUCCUUACUGGUGGUUACACCAGCUCCCAGUUUAAUAUCAUUUGCACAUUUCAUUAAUAUGUGGCUUACUCUCUCUUUGAGAUCCUUAAUAAAGAUGUUAAAUUAGAUUGUAUCUGACAUUGACCCCUGGGGCACUGCAAUACUUUAACGAUAUCCCGUUUUCCUGUCUACAGUCUAUAGAGUUCUUGCAGAAUGUGCAAGGAGCAGCUUCAACCUGGGAUAAAUCUUCAAUUUUAAUUCUAAAGCAGAAGUCAAGUCAUGUGGUUGGGGAUAACUUGACAUUGCCAGAACAUACUUGUAGCUGCUAGGAAGUCAUAUUUUAGCAAUUAAGUACAGGUUUGCCAGAAUUCUAUGUCAGAUUGCCAAUCUGCUGACAAUUACAAGAGAUAGUCUCUCUGUCCUGCUUACUGUAUUUCAGUCAAACUGAGAAGGGUCUUGUCUUAAAAAAAAAAAAUGAAACUAGGCUUUUUUAUUUUAAGGCUUGCAAUCACCUUUCACCAGGUUUUAAACAGCAGGCUUCUUCUGUGUUUCAAAGCAGAUUUGUUAAAGGAAUGGUUGUACCAAUUCACCAACGUAGGCAGAAUUCAGGGAAGCACACCAAGUGCCCCACUGAGAGUCCAGACGUGAAAGCCACUUUCAAAUUUCAAGAAUUUACAGCAAGUUCUUUUUUCAAAUUGGAAACAUUUAUUUUUUUCUAAAUAGCAAAGGUAUAAUACCCUAUGAUAUUUUUGGCACAGAAUUUAACUGUCUCAUCAUAUUUGAUUUAAUCAGAGAAAUCUAUAUAUUUAUAUCAGAUGCAAAAUUUUUUCAAGUGAAUUGAAGAAUAAUAUCUUAAAAAAUUAGGUUGCAUUAUCAAGUAAACUACAAUGUCUAUGAAAUGCAAUUGACUAUGGUUAAAUGAAAUGUAUUCUUUAAUCAUAUACCUGUAAAGUCUUCUAAGUCCCUCCAAAUUAUCAACUAUCUUAAACGUCACAUGUUAGACAUUCUCAUCAAUUUCUCUUGUUCUGCCUUAAAGUAAACUUCGUUAGCUUUGCAAAGAUUUUGAUCUCAUCUUGGACAUACAUAUUAAGACAAUUCCUUAGAUUUUAACAGAAAGAGAAUGAUUAAAGGAACACAUAUAACCAGAACUUGAAACUGGCCCAGUAAAUACAAUUUUUUUUUUUGGAACUGUAAGCAUGACUAAAAGUGCAUUUUGGCAUCAAACGCAGAAGGUUGUGUACGUUCUACAAGGUGAUGGAGGAAAGACGCGCAUGUGGGGGUCCUCCCUUCCAAAGGGUUUUUUCACAUGUGUAUGAUUCAUUGUGUCUUGGAAAAUACAGUUUCACCCAACUGGUUCCUUGUAUUUGGGAACCUGAAUUCUGAAGCACCCGAGUGAAAUUCUCAAUGUCGCCUCUACUCUCUCAUUGCCCUACCCAACUCCACGAAGAAUGACUGACCCCACCCACUUUAAGAAGUAAACAAUGAUUUGGGCAGUUCAGCCAAGAAACCAAAACAGAUUAAUCUCUGUGUGUAAUGAAAUGUUUAAAUUAGUAGUGUUCGAUUGGGUUGAGAUUUGGUGGUAGAAUUUAGAUAGUUCCCUCAAUUCCUGGCUUCUAUUUUGGGUGAACAAUAGGAUAUCAGAACAUUAUGUUAUACUCUCCUGACCUCAAGGAUCUAAUAGUUUAACGGGCAAGAUAAGGGUUGUGUAAGGAGGAGUUAGAAUCAGAUGAGAUGAUGCACAGUUUGAUGCAAAAGCAAAACAGAGAAGGAGGCAAUCAGUGUGAGAGGAGUUACUAUUUCCGAGGCCUGGCCUUUGGCGCUCGGGUCUCCUCCUCUUAUACCCUUUUGCUGCUUUGAAAUCUGUUUAUUUGUCUAGCGUCUUUUCCCUUGAGCUUUGAGUUCUUUUAUCCAACUGCCUACUAAACAAUGCCACCUUAAAACCCAGGAAGCCCACAGGGCCAACCUGGUGGUGGACCUUUCUCUUUUACUCUGUGCCGUGCUUAACACACUUCCUGGAGUAAUCCAGCUUCAGUGUGGUAUACUCAAACCAGUCGUCCUGCAAACGUAGCUGUAGAUGUUCUGGCUUCCGUAUACUGCUGAAUCUUUAGCCAAUUAAUUUUGCCAAAGCACUUUUGAUGAAGUUUGUAAUACAAGGUAGACAUUGACAGCUGUUCUAGAACCACUCCAAGCAUCAUCAUGCUCUGUUGAUCUCACUCAUUCCACCUCGCAAAAAUGAGAUGUUCCUGCUGUAACUUCUUCAUUCUUCCUUCUCUGCAAGAACAAAUGCCAGGCCCAAAUGUUUCCUUCUUGUUUCUAGAGGUGGAGAAACACUUUGUACACCAAGUCCUGGGGAAACAAUGAGUAGAUCUAGCCUCUUACCCAGCAUAUGGGUCAGAGAAUGGGAAGAACCAAAGCGAGAGCAGCAGAGAGAAGCCUUCUUCUAUUUUCCUAUAAACCAUGGCUGACUUUCUUCCUUCAAGUGGUGUUUGCUCACUUGUCAUAACUGAGCAGACUAUCAUAAGCCGUAUUUUUCUCAGAUCUCCUGUUUAUACUACUUCAAUGCUAGAAUAGGUACUUGUAGUUAAGGUUUGGUAUAUAAUAAGUUAUUUUAUGUGGGGAGUAUAAUGUGGUUCUAAUAGUCUAUUUAGCCUGCUUUUUAGAAUGGAUAGUGUUGCUACUAUUUAAAUGUUAUUCUAGUCCUUGAGCCAAAAUGCUUAUUAAAGUAUGCAAACAUAACUUAUCCAGAGAAUUCCUUAGACAACCAAUAGACACACAUUGAAGAGAAAAACAUUGUUAAAUUACUAUUUUCUUAAGUUUUUUGGUUCACAACCUACCUAACUAACAUCUUUCAGCUUGGAAUUAGAAUGAAAUGCAAAGUGUGGCAUUGAUUUUGAAUGCGUGCUGUGGCGGACAGAGACCCAUGAUAGAAAUAGAAUAGAAUUCUGCACACACAUAUGAAUGCACCCCAAGCAUAUGGGCAUGUGGAUGUAUCAACCACUCUCCUGCACGUCUCUCCUUUGGCAAGGAACUGAAUCUUGGCAUCUUAGUUUCUACAGUUGUUUAAUGGGCUUUAUUGCACUUGAUUUGUCUACCUCAUAGAGUUUCUUUGUUAAUCAUCUAUAAAAAAUGCAAGUCAGGCCAGGCCGGUGGCUCACGCCUGUAAUCCCAGCACAUUGGGUGGCCGAGGAGAGUGGAUCACCUGAGAUCGGGAGUUUGAGACCAGCCUGACCAACAUGGAGAAACCCCGUCUCUACUAAAAAUACAAAAAAAUUAGCCGGGCUUGGUGGCGCAUGCCUGUAAUCCCAGCUACUCGGGAGGCUGAGGCAGGAGAAUUGCUUGAACCCAGGAGGUCGAGGUUGCAGUGAGCCGAGAUCGUGCCAAUGCGCUCCAGCCUGGGCAACAAGAGUGAAACUCCGUCUCAAAAAAAAAAAGGCAAGUCAGGUUGUGUCACUCUCCUUUGUUGAAGCUUUCCCUGAAUCUUUUUUGUGGCUUUCUGUGAGUCUUUGAACAAACAAACAUAUCCUUACGAUGACUUCAGGGCAGCACAUGAUCUGGCCCUGUUUCUCUCACUAGCCUCCUCCUUAAUAACUCCUCUUGGUAAUGACUUCUUUUUAGCCCCCACUGGCUUUCUUUUAAAACCUUGAAUUCACCUUAGCAUACCUUUCUGAGAGAGGCCUUCUGACACCUGACAUCCGGAGCUAGGUUCCAAUCCUCUGUCGUGCUGGGUCCACACCCCUACCAUUCUGCACUAGGUUUGGUCUUGUCUGACAUAUGUUUGAAGAGCCCCUGAAUGCCUCCUUCACCAGACUCAUCUCAGUCGUGAGCAACUUAAUUCUUUAUCUGAUUAGAUGGUAUUAGAUUAAGACUGAUCUUUUCUUCAGACUCUCAUCCCCAUCAGGGAAGGGCUGAGCUCUGACUUGUUGACACAGCCCUCCAGAACCCAGUAGACUACCAGACAUGGAACAUUUCGUAGGUGAAUGAAGGAAGAGAAUAAGAUGAUGCCAGUGAUACCCAGUGUAAAACGGCAAACACCACUUACAUGUAAAAUAUUAAUUUCAUGUGUUUGAACUGAUCAAUCACAGAAGCAAACACAUAUAUGCCAUUUUUGUAAACACUUUUACAAGUAGAGAUUAACCCGUGGGCCAGCAGGAAGACUCUCUCAGGCAAGAGGUUAAGGAAUUGUAGCACAAUUCCCCAUGGUUUUGGAAUUUGAUGUCUUUUUAACGGAAGUGCCUCAGUGUUCUAUUUCCAAGGAAACUCAUCAAUCAUAAGUGCCAGAAAUGAAACAUUUAUUAACAAAAAAGAAAUUCAGGUAAUAUGUAUAUUUGCUAUUUCAGUCGUCGUGUUUCUUAUUUCGAGGACAAAUGCCUUCUCCAACUCUGUAUUAACAUUUUAAAAUAAUAUUCAUUUGCAUUUUACUUCUUGAUAGCACUUAACAUCUGAAGGAUUAGGAAGGAAUUGUUCUAGCUGAUAAGUAUUGAAUUAAACUUGGAGAAACAUUUUUUAUCUGAUGACCUUCAUCAUGGUGAAUCUGUUUAGGUUUUAGUGCAAAUCAAAUUUUUCAAAGUACUCUAGAGAGAGGUAAGAAGAUAGGGUUUUUAUCUCUGUAAUAAAUUUUGGAUUUUAAAGACUUGUUUAAGACUUAUUUGGCAUAAGUCAGUUUAAAACUCAGUCUUUACAUUUUCUUUAAAAAGGAAUAUUCAGUAAACCAUUAUGAUUCUGAAGCAGAAUAAAAUUUGUUUAAAUUCAUAGAUGAAAGUUGGUUUUGUAAGACUGUAGUUUUCUUUCUGAAAACAUCCAUUAUAGGGCUAUCUCAUUGGAAAAUUGAAUUAAAAACAACCUUUCCCAUUAUAUCUAAACAUACACAUAAAGUUGUUUGUUUGCACAGCAUGACAAUGGAAAAAUAAAAUGAAGCAUUCUGAGCUAAAUGUUUGGAGGUGAUAUCACUCUUUGAGAAUUUACAGCUCAAGUUUAGGGCUGUUCUACAGGAAAGCCAUGUGUUUUACAGACAAGACCAUUUUUUUCCUUAAUAGGUGGUCAGUUUCUGCAACAAGUAAACCAGAACGAUUUUAGAGGUAAACAGAGAAGAUAAGAAAGAGGGUGUCCAUGUAUUUUUUUUUCCUUCCGUAAAGUUCAGAUCAUGCAUCAUCUCUAAUGAGCUUGAUAAAGCAUAGCAAGGCAAAUGUGCCAUAAUUCAUCAUGUUUUCCAUUUCAAAAGUGACAGGCAACCUACAGGAAAAAAAGUCUUUAUUUUGUAACAAUAAAAAAAGGAGGUGAGAUAAUCACAUUUGAAAUAACAUCUGCAAAGGAACUCUUAAAGUCCACAUCGAAUAUGAAAAAUUGUCUUAUAUUGGGGUUUGUUUGGUUGACAUGAUGCCAAAAAUUACCAUGAGUGCCUGUAAGCAAAAUGUUUGCUUUUAGUAUUUAAUCCAAAUCUAGUAGAAAAAAUUUAAAAAUCUUUAAAAAUUUUGACAGAGAAUGUGCUCUUAUUGUGAGAAAUGGCAAUACUUGGACUUGUUAGAAAGUUUCCAUUAGCUUUCACUCAAUAAUGUUAAACAUUACAGCACAAAAUGUCAAAAGGUUUAGAUCAAAUUUAUUCUGCAAAAAACCAUAAUGUGCUUAUAGUAAUUUUCUGAAUGUUUGCCUAUUUCUAAAAAUGGCUCAACAAAAUAGCAUCUCAAAAAUGCAUCUCUUUUUGGUCCAACCAUUUUCUUUGGAAAUCAAUCACAUUUUCUUAUACCAUGGACCUGAGUAUCUUAGACCUCACACAGAGACAAGAAGAGUUGGGAACCAACUCAAUAUAUAGGAUAUAAUCACAUCUUUAAUGCCUCAAGUCAUUCUGCCUUAUCUGCAAGUAAGUGAGGGAGGAUGGAACAUGGUUUGGUCACUGUAAGAAAAAUAAAAGCUACUAUCAAAAAGAAACGUUAAUUUUUUGCAGUGUCUCAGAACUACAAACACACAUUUAAUCACAAAAUAUGUCACUUUUUCUAAUAACUCAAGAAGUCAAUUUGUCUUUACUAAGAAUUUUAAGCAUCAUGUUUAUUUAAAGUUCUAAUCUGUGAAGUAAUGAAGAAAUAACAGGAAUGGUAUGUGGGAUAGUAACUUUUUCUGUUUAGAAUAUAAGAAGUGUAUUUACACAAAGACUUAAAAUAUAGAAACACAUUUGGUUCUAAAUAAUUACAAUUAAUGAAGACCCUGAAUCUUCAUAUUGAGGUACCGAGGUCAAAGGCUCUGCGGUUAAGUUGGAAGCUGUUCUUUAUAACUUUCUUUGCACAUUAGAACGCAUAAUAUUUGGUAGAUUUAGAGAAAAAAGUCUGGUGGGACUUAGAAUCACUGAGUUUAUAUAGUAUGACUAGAUGUAUACUUGCAGAGCAAAUUCCAUCAUUGUUAUAUCCUUAUGUAUAAAACAAUAUCUUUUAUAUGUAACAAUAUAUUUUAUUUUAUACUUAUGAAUAUUAAAUAUUCUGUUUAAUAACAUUCCAGUUAUAACAGCUCAAUUUACUUGCCACUGAGUUAUUAAUAUGCCACGGCAUAGCAAACUUUUUUUUCUUUGGGUACUCAAGAGCUUCUUUUUAUUAUUGUCUUUGAGCUUUUUAACAGAAGAGAAAGAAAAAAUAUGAUUAUUGGCCAGAUGCAGUGGCUCACACCAGUAAUCCCAGCACUUUGGGAGGCCAAGGCGGGUGGAUCACUUGAGCCCAGGAGUUGGAGACCAGCUGGGGAAACAUGGUGAAACUCCAUCUCCGCAAAAUACACAAAUAUUAGCCGAGUGUGGUGGGGUGUGCCUGAGUCCCAGCUACUCGGGAGGCUGAGGUGGGAGGAUUGCUUGAGCCCCAGAGGCAGAGGUUGCAGUGAGUCGAGAUCACACCACCGCACCUCAGCCUGGGCAACAGAGCAAGACCCUGUCUCAAAAAAAAGGGAAAAUAUGAUUAUUUAAAUUCAUCUAGUCAACCCAAACUUUUUCUAUAUAAUGAAACAGCAUAUUGAAUUUUCCUCUCAAAAGUUUAUUCAUUUUUGUUAUUCCCCCAAAUAGCAUUCCUUUAAGGACGAUGGCAUUUGCUUCCUUCUUCCCUGCUCUCUCAAAUAGAGGUGGUUGAAAGUCCUUCCAGAAUUCCCUUUCUUGUUUCUCCUACUACUUUAGGAUCACCACAGAUGAUGAAGAUGGAAAAGCUUCUCUAAAACAUGGGCUCAUUGUUGAAAAUGAUAGGUUUUACUCAAGGGGACUAAUCAGUAAUAUGCCAGCCUCAUAUCAGGGACUGGGGACAUUUUCUGUCAUUGCAGACUCUCUGCAUGAUAAGUUUUUCAGUUCUCAAUUCAAGGGAAGACCUUUGGUUGACUGCAGUGCGUAUGCCUGACUGUGUUAUAUUUCAGCUGUUUCUCCUUUUCCUUCUGACCCCCUUUCCUUCCCAAAGACCAUAAUGUUCUUUCUUAGUUUAGGAAAAGAGUCACUUGAAAAUUUGAUCAAGGGCUCAUACUUGAAUUAUUAACUCUUUCUUCUGAUGCCCUAAAUACUUACAUUUCUUGAUGUCCACACCUUUUCACAAAUGCUUAUCUUAUUAUUCCUUCUUACUUACUCUUCUGUGAAUAAAGUCUGAUGGAUUUAUUUUUUACCAUUUUUAAUGAAUAAAUGAUUUCAACCAUUACUUUUCCGUACUAUUUUUAUGAAUAAAUGAUUUCAACCAUUACUUUCCCUUACUUUUAUAUUUAUUGUCAAAGACCACUAAAUUAUGUGGAACUGCAAAAAGGUUUUUGAUAUGAUCUCUAGACUCUCAUAGGAUUUGAACUAAAAUUCACAAUCCAGGGUUUUAAAAAGAAGAGGAAAAACAGUAGUCUUAGUUUUUGACUCUUUUAAAUAAUACUCGUUUAGAAUUAAGUUUAACAUGGCAGAGUUAAAUAUCUAAUGAAAAAGAUCCACUGGAGUAUGUGGUGAAAAUUUUUCUGGAGAUAGUAGGCUGAAAGAGGUUGGCAUUUCACACACAUCUUUGUUGAUGGAGCUGGAUUGACAAGGUGACAGUUUCUCCACAAUUCCCAGAAAGACAAAUCAUUAUUUUUAUGGGGAGGGAAAUAGGGUUGGGAAGGCACAUUUCACAAUGAUACAAUCCAUUAUUUAAAGAUGUUAGUAACUGGCCUCUCCCCCAUUUAAUCAGAGGCAUUGGGUCUUUCUUCAACGUUUCUGUAUUUUUUUGAGGGGGGUGGGUAGGGGGAUUAACCGUUUCCCAGCCAGAUCUGCCAAAGGGUUAUUGUUAACCAGUCAAAGGAAGCUGGCAUCCCAACACACUGGCAAGGUCUUGCCCAUGGCUCUUUUUCUCCGCCUGUUAACUUCAUCACUCUCCAGGUGUGGUGUGAAUGGAGAACAUGUGGCCCAGCAGUUGCCAGAGGGCACGUUUUCUAAGCUCAAAGUCAGAGGCCAUUGGGCUGAGACUGCCAAGCUUUGGAACAUCAACGGGGAUGUAGUUGGAAAGGAGUCUAUACAGACGGUAUGGCUAGUGCUUGCCAAUCUCUGAAUUGUUCUUAAGUGGACCCUUUAGGACGGACGCCCCGCUACCAUUUCCAUGCUUUGAUAACAGCAGUAGUAAAGGCAGAGUGCAGAUAGAUCAUCAUGGUUUAGUCUAUAAUGUCAUAUCCAAAAAGAAACAGAAAAAAAAAUACCACCAAGCUCUAUUUCUGGCCUCAGGAUUUGGGGAAUUACCAAAUGUUUGAGCUUCUACUAAUUCAGGCAGCGAAACUAAUAAUCCAGCAAGUAUCUGUGUUGUUUUGCAGAAGGCAAAUGCGCUGGCUGGGAAAUCCUAUCAGACUGUACCAUUCCCAAACCAGGCAACAGACAGCCUUUAAAUGAUCUUGGGAAGAAGGAGGGGCUGGCCAAGGUGUUGUAAGAUUAAAAGAAAAUAAAAUAAAAAAUAAAAAAGUUAAAAAAUUUCUUUUUGUGUUAAAAAAAAAAGCAUGUUAAAGCUAAUUUUAUUUAAUGUUCUGAGAGGAAGCACAGAAAAACCAAAGGUGUUGGCCUUCCGGGGUAGGACUGUGGAAGUGAUGGUCAAGCAGCUUUGUUUAAAGAUGCUUACGAGAGGUAUUUAUUUCAAUCGGGGCAUAAACUUCCUUGAAAGUGUCUUUUACCCCUCGCUUCCGCUGCCGAACGUUCUCCUACCCAGAUGGGUAUCAGAAAGUGAGGUUCAGGUUUUGGCCUGCUGAGCCAGGGGAAUACUUGGUCUAACCAUUUACAACAACUAGAUUUUUCCUAUUCCAGUGUAGGAAACCUAAUUACACCCUGGUAAAUUCUCUUCUGUCUACCAAACACAGAAAAAAACAGUGACAGAAACUGAAAGGCCAGAAAAGAGAAAAGAGUCCCUAAGACCUAAUGAAUCCAAACUAAACACCUCUCCACAGAAAUGUCAAACAUUUCUCUUAGCACAAAACAAGGCUUAAAGAAUUCCCUGCUUUUGUCUCUGGCCUAAUUCCUUAAGCAGAGAGGGGGAUUUUCCUCUGGGAGUGUUAUUUCACAAAGAACGAAACAGCAAAUAAACAAAAGACUCUCAAAGAGAGAGAGAGUAUAAAUAAAAUUCAUGACUCCUUAAAGAGUUUACACUGAAAGAAUGUGGAGGAUUAUUUGCAAUUAAAGCAGAGCCUCUAGAAUACAGUUAUUAUAUAUAUAUAUAGAUUUAUAUAUAAAGACUGAGAGUUCAUUUCAUUUUCUUCACAAGAAAACUGCACCUAGAUACCCUUGUUUGUAAAAAAUCGUGAAACUUCAUUUUAUUGAGAUCUUUUUGUUGUAAUUUUUGUCACGUAUACAUAUAUUUUGACUUUUUAAUAUUUAAAACUUCUUACAUAUGUAGCCUAGCAAUUCCUAAUUAAUUUAUAUCUUUUUAUAAGAAAGCUACAGGUGAUGCAUGUUGCAAUUUGA